rnacentral:lncRNA from 1 species
AUAUCACAUACUGGAAAUAAAACUCCAAAACUGAUCUCCAUGCAAUUAGGACCCAACGUGCAGCUUCAUGUUCCCAAUUUUAACCCAUCGUGAAGGUGUACGAAAGGUGGGCGUAAUCUCUUCUGGCUUAGGCUCUUGAUUGUGUCCCUUGACAAGCUGAUUCAAACUGUACAAUAUUUUAUCUCUUGGUUUAAUUGGCUCCAGGCCUGUGUGCAUGCAUACGCUCACAUGUAUGGGUUGGCUGCAAUUUACUCCUUGCUUCAAUCUUGGCUGAUGUGUAAUUUUGACCCUCCUGUAUAUUGCGUCUCUACAAUUAAUGGCACAAAAGCCAGGUCCACAUAGCUCACAUUUCUUGCCAUCUCUACCACGGUGCAAUAUAUUUGAACGUCUGGUAGUUCCUCCAACAUUCUCGAAUAAGCUCUUCUCGCUCGACUCGAUUUGUUUAACUUCAAUAGCAGCCACACUUUUUGAUGUACUAGAUGUUGUCGUGUUCGUAUCAUCCUCCCUUCCUUCAAACAAAACCGUCCUCGGUUUUGAGAUAACUUUCAAAGACACCUCCUUUUCUGGAACCCGCAUGUCUACAAUAAUUGCACUGUCCAUCAUCGGUUUCAAUAUGUGUUUCUUUCCAUCAUGCAUGAAUGUAUAAAUGUUGGAUUUUCCGGCAUGCGUUGCAUCAUGAUCGAACUGCCACGGCCUUCCCAAUAGUAACUGGCACGCAUCCAUUGGUAUAACGUCACAGUCUACCUUGUCAAUAUAAGCUCCAACUGCAAAAGGUACACGUACCUUAUGUGUAAUCUUUAAUUUUCCAGAGUUAUAUAACCAGCUCACAUGGUGUGGCUGGGGGUGCCGCCACAUGGACAAACGCAAAGCCUGCACGACAUCCUUGCUAAUGGCAUUGGUAAAGCUACCACCGUCAAUUAUCAUCUUGCAUGGAUGGCCCUUGAUCAUGCACUGUGUUUUGAAAACACUCCACCGCUGUCCCUUUGUACCACAAUUUUCUUUGACCUUCUCCAACAACAGAUUCAAUCCCUCUUUUGGUGCAUCAACUUCUUCCUUUGUUUCUUCUUCUUGUUCUCUUCUUUUCACCAAACGAUUUUUCCAAUCUGCUGUGAACACAUCCACUGGCAUAGGAAUAAAACAAAUUCUUAGGCCCUUCCAUGAUAAAGAGAAACUAUUUUUAUUGACAUUCCGAACAGCCCCGACACGCGUGCACCAUGGGUUUCCAAGUGGCAUACGGCACGACACCAUGGGCACUGGACAAACAUGAAAAAAUUCCGCACAACAAUAUUUCCCCAGAUCAAAAAUUAGCAAAAUCCUAUAUGUAAUUUUUAUUUCACCUUUGAACCACUUCAGCGUGUACGGUCUUUCAAGGGGCGCCAUAUUCAGCCCCAAUUUUUUCACCACCUCAAUGCUCACCAUGUUGACCGCAGAACCUUCAUCAAUCGUCAAAUUGACACACCGCUCCUUCACGACGCAACGAGUGUGAAAAAGAACGGCCUCGCCGAUGCCCUCCUCCUCCAUCAAUAAGUUCUUGCUCAACAUGUUGAUGCUCGCCUCCAUAGACAAUAUUGCAAACAUGAUAUGACUGUGUGUAAUUUAUUUAUGAUGGUCGCUGCUAACAAAACAAAGUCUACACCUAUGGUCGAAUAUGCUACUGGUAUUGUUCAAGAUAAAGCUCUAAUUGUUGUUGAUCAUGAACCUACACGUGGGCUGACUAGGGGAGCAAGCAUGGAGUUGAUACGAUGGACUAGUAUGAAGCAAAGUGAUGCAUGCGUUCUUGCAUGGAAGGUCUUUUCUUGGAGUUGCAAAAAGGGAAAGAGAUCAUGUAUGUUUGGUAACUACAAAUACAAGGCACGGCGAUGUAUAUUAUAUUUGUUCCUGCCAUGCAAGAAGGCUUAGAAGAUAGAUACGAGCAGGAGACUUAAUGCAUGGAGUUCUUUAUCUCUACAGGAUGUAGGAUGGGGCCCACCAGAAAGAAAGAUGGCGUACAGGGUUAAACUAGCUAGAAAAUCCAAUCUGAGAUGUAAAAAGAUUGGACUCUUAUAUUUUAUACUAGUUUAUUUUCUUUCCAAAGUUGAGUGCGUGCGUGAGGGGUUUAGGCCAGGUUCAAGUCAGUUAUUUAAAGCCAUUGUGCAUGGAUGUAAAAGGGAGGUUAUUGUUUUAUGAAAUAGAUACGAUGUAUUUUCAAGGGUAGACACCCGUAUCAAGUUUUAGAGGGAUCUUUAGAAAAUCUCUGCGUUGCGAUUUCUGUGAGGAAAUUGUUUUUGCGUGUGAGUACCAUCAUCGAGAUUGGUUUUCUCGUGCUGAGCCGCAAGGUUCAAACCCUCUAUUUCGUGUACAUCGCGUGCGCGGGAGAGAGGCUACUGCUGCUGAAGGUGGAGUGUCGUGAAAGUUCGGGACGCAACAACGGAUCGGAUUUCGCCAACGGGGUUCGGUCCUUAUCAGGUGGUAAUCAGAGCAUCAGGUUGUUCACGACACUAUGGAGAAGAUGGUGAGGGCAUCGUCAUUCAGUAAGUUAAGCUAUGGAUUUCAGUUGGAGGAGGAAGGCCGUUGGACCGGGCUUUUUCACAUGCGCGUGGUGGUGAGAGAGAGAUCAUGUGCCAUGAUGAUCGAUCACAUGAACUUGAUCAACGCUGCAAGCAUCGAGAUGGUGGAGAAGCUGUAUCUACCAAUGACACCACGUCCACAACCAUACUUAUUUCAUUGGGGUCAAGAAGAGCUCACUGUCACGCAGCAAACCAAGGUACCGUUUUUGUUGGGAAAUUAUUUUUGUGAGAUUUUGUGCGAUGUGAUUCCGGCACCGAUGGUUUCGUGUCACUUGUUGUUGGGCAAGCCAUGGUACAAAGAGCACGAUGUUGUGUAUGAUGGUCAAACAGACAGAUAUACCAUUAAGAAGGGUAAGAAGUGCAUGCUCGUGCCCAUGGGUGAGGAGCGUUAUAUUGCUUGGAGGAAAGAACAUCAGGAAAAGAUUAAAGAGGAGGGAGAAGCAACGAAGAAGAAGGUUCCAGAUGGUAAAAUUUCUACAAUCAUGAUGCAGUCUAUAGAUAAGAAUUUUGCUGAACAAAUCGACUCGAAACCGAGGACGGUUUCGUUGCAAGGGGGAGAGGAUGAUAUGACCGUGUGUAAUUUAUUUAUGAUGGUCGCUGCUAACAAAACAAAGUCUACACCUAUGGUCGAAUAUGCUACUGGUAUUGUUCAAGAUAAAGCUCUAAUUAUUGUUGAUCAUGAAACUACACGUGGGCUGACUAGGGGAGCAAGCAUGGAGUUGAUACGAUGGACUAGUAUGAAGCAAAGUGAUGCAUGCGUUCUUGCAUGGAAGGUCUUUUCUUGGAGUUGCAAAAAAGGAAAGAGAUCAUGUAUGUUUGGUAACUACAAAUACAAGGCACGGCGAUGUAUAUUAUAUUUAUUCCUGCCAUGCAAGAAGGCUUACAAGAUAGAUACGGGCAGGAGACUUAAUGCAUGGAGUUGUUUAUCUCUACAGGAUGUAGGAUGGGGCCCACCAGAAAGAAAGAUGGCGUACAGGGUUAAACUAGCUAGAAAAUCCAAUCUGAGAUGUAAAAAUAUUGGACUCUUAUAUUUUAUACUAGUUUAUUUUCUUUCCAAAGUUGAGUGCGUGCGUGAGGGGUUUAGGCCAGGUUCAAGUCAGUUAUUUAAAGCCAUUGUGCAUGGAUGUAAAAGGGAGUUUAUUGUUUUAUGAAAUAGACACGAUGUAUUUUCAAGGGUAGACACCCGUAUCAAGUUUUAGAGGGAUCUUUAGAAAACCUCUGCGUUGUGAUUUCUGUGAGGAAAUUAUUUUUGCGCGUGAGUACCAUCGUCGAGAUUGGUUUUAUCGUGUUGAGCCGCAAGGUUCAAACCCUCUAUUUCGUGUACAUCGCAUGCACGGGAGAGAGGCUACUGCUGCUGAAGGUGGAGUGUCGUGAAAGUUUGGGACACAACAACGGAUCGGAUCUCGCCAACAGGGUUCGGUCCUUAUCAGGUCAGCACGAGAAAACCAAUCUCGACGAUGGUACUCACGCGCAAAAACAAUUUCCUCACAGAAAUCGCAACGCAGAGGUUUUCUAAAGAUCCCUCUAAAACUUGAUACGGGUGUCUACCCUUGAAAAUACAUCGUGUCUAUUUCAUAAAACAAUAACCUCCCUUUUACAUCCAUGCACAAUGGCUUUAAAUAACUGACUUGAACCUGGCCUAAACCCCUCACGCACGCACUCAACUUUGGAAAGAAAAUAAACUAGUAUAAAAUAUAAGAGUCCAAUCUUUUUACAUCUCAGAUUGGAUUUUCUAGCUAGUUUAACCCUGUACGCCAUCUUUCUUUCUGGUGGACCCCAUCCUACAUCAUGUAGAGAUAAACAACUCCAUGCAUUAAGUCUCCUGCCCGUAUCUAUCUUGUAAGCCUUCUUGCAUGGCAGGAACAAAUAUAAUAUACAUCGACGUGCCUUGUAUUUGUAGUUACGAAACAUACAUGAUCUCUUUCCUUUUUUGCAACUCCAAGAAAAGAGCUUCCAUGCAAGAACGCAUGCAUCACUUUGCUUCAUACUAGUCCAUCGUAUCAACUCCAUGCUUGCUCCCCUAGUCAGCCCACGUGUAGUUUCAUGAUCAACAACAAUUAGAGCUUUAUCUUGAACAAUACCAGUAGCAUAUUCGACCAUAGGUGUAGACUUUGUUUUGUUAGCAGCGACCAUCAUAAAUAAAUUACACACGGUCAUAUCAUCCUCUCCCCCUUGCAACGAAACCGUCCUCUGUUUUGAGUCGAUUUGUUCAGCAAAAUUCAUAUCUAUAGACUGCAUCAUGAUUGUAGAAAUUUUACCAUCUGGAACUUUCUUCUUCGUUGCUUCUCCCUCCUCUUUAAUCUUUUCCCGAUGUUCUUUCCUCCAAGCAAUAUAACGCUCCUCACCCAUGGGCACGAGCAUGCACUUCUUACCCUUCUUAAUGGUAUAUCUGUGUGUUUGACCAUCAUACACAACAUCGUGCUCUUUGUACCAUGGCUUGCCCAACAACAAGUGACACGAAACCAUCGGUGCCGGAAUCACAUCGCACAAAAUCUGACAAAAAUAAUUUCCCAAAAAAAACGGUACCUUGGUUUGCUGCGUGACAGUGAGCUCUUCUUGACCCCAAUGAAACAAGUAUGGUUGUGGACGUGGUGUCAUUGGUAGAUACAGCUUCUCCACCAUCUCGAUGCUUGCAGCGUUGAUCAAAUUCAUGUGAUCGAUCGUCAUGGCACAUGAUCUCUCUCUCUCACCACCACACGCGUGUGAAAAAGCCCGGUCCAACGGCCUUCCUCCUCCAACUGAAAUACAUAGCUUAACUUACUGAAUGACGAUGCCCUCACCAUCUUCUCCAUAGUGUCGUGAACAACCUGAUGCUCUGAUUACCACCUGAUAAGGACUGAACCCCGUUGGCGAGAUCCGAUCCAUUGUUGCGUCCCGAACUUUCACGACACUCCACAUUCAGCAGCAGUAGCCUCUCUCCCGCGCACGCGAUGUACAUGAAAUAGAGGGUUUGAACAUUGCGGCUCAGCACGAGAAAACCAAUCUCGACGAUGGUACUCACGCGCAAAAACAAUUUCCUCACAGAAAUCGCAACACAGAGGUUUUCUAAAGAUCCCUCUAAAACUUGAUACGGGUGUCUACCCUUGAAAAUACAUCGUGUCUACUUCAUAAAACAAUAACCUCCCUUUUACAUCCAUGCACAAUGGCUUUAAAUAACUGACUUGAACCUGGCCUAAACCCCUCACGCACGCACUCAACUUUGGAAAGAAAAUAAACUAGUAUAAAAUAUAAGAGUCCAAUCUUUUUACAUCUCAGAUUGGAUUUUCUAGCUAGUUUAACCCUGUAUGCCAUCUUUCUUUCUGGUGGGCCCCAUCCUACAUCCUGUAGAGAUAAACAACUCCAUGCAUUAAGUCUCCUGCCCGUAUCUAUCUUGUAAGCCUUCUUGCAUGGCAGGAACAAAUAUAAUAUACAUCGCCGUACCUUGUAUUUGUAGUUACCAAACAUACAUGAUCUCUUUCCUUUUUUGCAACUCCAAGAAAAGACCUUCCAUGCAAGAACGCAUGCAUCACUUUGCUUCAUACUAGUCCAUCGUAUCAACUCCAUGCUUGCUCCCCUAGUCAGCCCACGUGUAGUUUCAUGAUCAACAACAAUUAGAGCUUUAUCUUAAACAAUACCAGUAGCAUAUUCGACCAUAGGUGUAGACUUUGUUUUGUUAGCAGCGACCAUCAUAAAUAAAUUACACACGGUCAUAUCAUCCUCUCCCCCUUGCAACGAAACCGUCCUCGGUUUCGAGUCGAUUUGUUCAGCAAAAUUCAUAUCUAUAGACUGCAUCAUGAUUGUAGAAAUUUUACCAUCUUGAACCUUCUUCUUCGUUGCUUCUCCCUCCUCUUUAAUCUUUUCCUGAUGUUCUUUCCUCCAAGCAAUAUAACGCUCCUCACCCAUGGGCACGAGCAUGCACUUCUUACCCUUCUUAAUGGUAUAUCUGUGUGUUUGACCAUCAUACACAACAUCGUGCUCUUUGUACCAUGGCUUGCCCAACAACAAGUGACACGAAACCAUCGGUGCUGGAAUCACAUCGCACAAAAUCUCACAAAAAUAAUUUCCCAACAAAAACGGUACCUUGGUUUGCUACGUGACAGUGAGCUCUUCUUGACCCCAAUGAAACAAGUAUGGUUGUGGACGUGGUGUCAUUGGUAGAUUCAGCUUCUCCACCAUCUCGAUGCUUGCAGCGUUUAUCAAAUUCAUGUGAUCGAUCGUCAUAGCACAUGAUCUCUCUCUCACCACCACACGCGUGUGAAAAAGCCCGGUCCAACGGCCUUCCUCCUCCAACUGAAAUACAUAGCUUAACUUACUGAAUGACGAUGCCCUCACCAUCUUCUCCAUAGUGUCGUGAACAACCUGAUGCUCUGAUUACCACCUGAUAAGGACUGAACCCCGUUGGCGAGAUCCGAUCCGUUGUUGCGUCCCGAACUUUCACGACACUCCACCUUCAGCAGCAGUAGCCUCUCUCCCGCGCACGCGAUGUACACGAAAUAGAGGGUUUGAACCUUGCGGCUCAGCACGAGAAAACCAAUCUCGAUGAUGGUACUCAUGCGCAAAAACAAUUUCCUCACAGAAAUCGCAACACAGAGGUUUUCUAAAGAUUCCUCUAAAACUUGAUACGGGUGUCUACCCUUGAAAAUGCAUCGUGUCUAUUUCAUAAAACAAUAACCUCCCUUUUACAUCCAUGCACAAUGGCUUUAAAUAACUGACUUGAACCUGGCCUAAACCCCUCACGCACGCACUCAACUUUGGAAAGAAAAUAAACUAGUAUAAAAUAUAAGAGUCCAAUCUUUUUACAUCUCAGAUUGGAUUUUCUAGCUAGUUUAACCCUGUACGCCAUCUUUCUUUCUGGUGCGCCCCAUCCUACAUCCUGUAGAGAUUAACAACUCCAUGCAUUAAGUCUCCUGCCCGUAUCUAUCUUGUAAGCUUUCUUGCAUGGCAGGAACAAAUAUAAUAUACAUCGCCGUACCUUGUAUUUGUAGUUACCAAACAUACAUGAUCUCUUUCCUUUUUUGCAACUCCAAGAAAAGACCUUCCAUGCAAGAACGCAUGCAUCACUUUGCUUCAUACUAGUCCAUCGUAUCAACUCCAUGCUUGCUCCCCUAGUCAGCCCACGUGUAGUUUCAUGAUCAACAACAAUUAGAGCUUUAUCUUGAACAAUACCAGUAGCAUAUUCGACCAUAGGUGUAGACUUUGUUUUGUUAGCAGCGACCAUCAUAAAUAAAUUACACACGGUCAUAUCACUUGGCAGCAUAGACUUCAUGCACUGGGUGUGGAAGAACUGCCCUUCUGCUUGGUAAGGGUAGUAUAAGGGACAUGUCAGGGGUUGCACUGUCAUACUAGAGGCUGUGGCGUCUCAAGAUCUCUGGAUCUGGCACUCUUUCAUUAGCAUGGCUGGAUCACACAAUGAUAUCAACGUGCUUCAGCGCUCGCCGGUGUUUGCUAGGCUUGCCGAAGGCAACAACCCACCGGUGAACUUUACUGUCAACGGCCACAACUACGAUAAAUGGUACUAUUUGGGUGGCGAUAUCUAUCCUCAGUGGACCACUAUUGUCAAAACAAUACCCAACCCUGUCGGAGCGAAAAGAAAAAGAUUUGCCCAAGAGCAAGAGAGUGCUAGGAAGGAUGUCGAGCGUGCCUUUGGUGUUUUGCAAUCUUGAUGGGGCAUCGUUCGGUAUCCUGCUAAUACUUGAAGCACGCAGAAACUAUGGGAGGUGAUGACUGCUUGUGUGAUCAUGCACAAUAUGAUCGUAGAAGACGAGCGCCCGGAAUGUCUGCACGAUCAAGGCUUUCAGUUUCAGGGUGAGAAUGUUGUGCCUGAGCAUGGAGUAGCGGCAACAUUUGAGCAGUUCACUCAGUUUCAUGAAGACACGCGUGAUUGGGAAACUCACGUGCAACUGCAAAAUGAUUUGGUUGAGCAUAUGUGGACUCAUGUUGGCAACCAAUAGAUUGUAUCUUCUUUUAUUCGUUUGCAAAACUACGUGAAACAUUUUUAUUUGUAUUUGGUUUGUAAAACUAUAGUAUUUAUUUGGACGGCUAGACUAUUUGAUUUGUUUUAACAUUUUCAUUUCACAAUAUGUUUGAAUGCAAAUCAAUGUAAAAUUGGAUUGCCAGCAGGCCACACCUGCACAUAUGGGUCGGCGCGUUGAACGCGUUGCCGACCCAUAUCAGUAACAGGGCAGAUGCCGGGUAGGCGGCCGACCCAAACGGACAAAAAGCAGACAAAAUCGCCAUUCGUUUGGGUCGGCCAGUUAGAGUUGCUCUAACUGAUCAUCGGGUAGCUAGCUACCAAUAGCACCAUCCGCCAUGGGUGCGCCACCAUCUCGUCUACGACCAACAACAGCCCCACGGAUUCCAGGAGGACGCCCCGGACGGCGAAGGCCGCUUCGGCCAGAACUCCCGCGAGCCAUUAAUCCAAGAACCGGUACUGGGUGAAGACCACAGCCUGAAGCACGAAGGAAAACAAUGGGGAGAAUCUCGUAUUUAUAAGGACCAGAGGCGUGGAAAGAAACAGCGGGAGACGACCAGAACGAUCUGUAAGAGCGGCGUCCAGAAUUCACGAAGACAGCGGCGCCACCAUAAAAUUCUACAUCCACGUACCUGGCAAUCUCUGUAAAAAAAAUCGGCGACGUGCCCGUCACAGGCCAACACAUAGAAAUCCCAAUGGCAUGCACCAUAUCAGGAAAGAUCCAAGAGAUCACGUUUUAAAAAUAAAAAAUAAAACCUAUCAAUGAACGGCCAUGUCCACAAUUAGGAGGCGGUUAGCGCCAGAUGUAUCCCCAGAUCUCGUACCCCUUCAUAUCCCAAAUAAAUAGCACGUGGCAGCACGUGAUUAACCAGUUUUAGGCUGUAAAAGAACAUCAAAAGAUCCACAAAAGUGAAACGGUUCUAGAUCUAGAGAUUGUAAGAUGUAGCGGUUCCACACUAUUGUAGAGCAAAAUUAAAGAGACAAACAAAGAGUUCAAAUGAUCCACUAGUUUCAUUACAACGCAGGAGAUCCACUUAUAUACAUGAUGAAGGGGUGUGUUGGGGACAGGGCCGGUCCUGGGGCAGGGUGAACGGGGCGGCCGCCCCGGGCCCCCGAAAGUCAGGGGCCCCAUCUCAGGUAUAUGUACGCUAGUACGUACAUGCAUACAAGUCUUCGAGGGAAAAACACAAUUGAAGCCAAUCUCAGCGCCUCGCUCAGCCUCUGGUACGCUAGUCUAGGAAACUAAAAAGUAUAUGGUGGGCCUGGCCCAUGUUUGCAUGUACGUGGAGACUGGAGAGGAAAAGGAAUCUUCGAUUCACUAAUCACUAUUUCCUGUAACUUCGGAUUCACUAAUCACUAUUUCCUGUAACUUCGGAUCGGUUGUUCCCUGCCCUUUUGGCUGUUUCACUGUUUCUGUUCGUCUAAUCCUCUUCGACUCUGCUUCCUCAGGAACGACGCGGCGACUGCGGCAGGUACAUCUCAUCGCACCCUCUUCCCUCGCAUGUUCUUCUUCCUGUUUAUUUUCUUUCUAAUCCUGAUUCCCAACUUGUCAAUCGAUCAAUCAGGUUAACAGGGAAUUGUUGUUAGGGCGCUCGAAGCAUUGCGCGCAUGUAGUCAGAUUGAAUUACAGGGAGAAGGUACUAGCAGAUUGUCAAUACAUUGGAUGAUCUUCUAUACUAAAUCUAAUAUUUUAAUUAGCUUAAUUUGUUCCUUCUAGUUUCAGCAGGGGUCAUGUCGAGUUCGGGUAUAAAGAAAGGAAGAAGGACGCAGAUGAGGAGAUAGAAGAAUUGAGAGGAUCUCUUUUUAAAUACUAUAAGAGCGAUACAAGUACUCCAAGAAAUCCAGACGAGUUGACGAUAGUUCUUGCGGGUGACCAAACUAAUGGCAAUUAGGAAGAUGAUGGUCAUACUCCUAUAAAAGGCAAUGCUGACGUCAACAUGGAUGAUAGCACUGUGAGUGAUCAUGAGCCCAUAUUUAUUUUGUAUUGCAUAUCGGAUUUUCUUUACUCUGCUUGUUACUGUGGCAUCAGCUGAAAGAAAUUUAUUCAAAGUUGAGAUUGUUGAAGAACUACCGGAGAUCUACAAUGUCGCAAGAGAUGUUAAAUGGCCAUACAACUUUAUGCAUUGAGAAAAAAAUUGCUUGACGAAAUUGAUAUUGAUACUAUUAUUAGCGAUUUUGCAUCUCAUAAUGCUAGGAGAAAAUUUUGAAGGUAAUAUGUAAUACAUUAUGUGAUAUGCACAAUCAUUUAGGACACACUUAAUUAUUCUCUUUGAUACAAAUUAUACCCACGUAUGAUGAUUAUCAAUUAGACAUUUAUAUUAAGGGCCCCGAAGGGCCUGGGAUUGUAGUUUCGCCCCGGGCCCCCGAAAUCUCAGGACCGGCCCUGGUUGGGGAGACACCUCUUCCCCCAACAGACACCUCCUGGGAGGCAUCCCUCCCACAAUUGAUCACAUAUUUUAUUUCUCAACACUCCCCCUUGAUCAAUUUGUCAGUUGUAUAUUGCAAACUGAAAACUUCUCCUAAAACCCUGUGGGGAAAAAUGAGGAGAAACCUUAUAAUAAUAUGCCAUCGAAAACUCCUUUAAAACCCAGUGGGAAAAAUAUAAGGAGAAACCAAUAUGGCAUAUAUCCACACUUGUAUUUAUAUUGUCUCGUUAAAAACCUUAUAUGAGAAACCAUCAUGGAAAACUCAUAAAGGGAAAAAGAGUAUAAUAUGAGUGAUUUGAGGAUCACCAAACGGGUUAUAACUUGGGAUUUUACUCCCCCUGAACUUUGCAAACCUCAAGAAUAUCUCAUACCAAUUCCAUGAAUCUAGUUCUGGAAUAUAAACAUUGAUACAGACAUUGUGAACAUCACAAUAAUCUGUUUUCAUAUUAUCCUCUUACAUUUCUAUAAUUCACAAGGAUAAAUAUAACACAUAAGCAAUACAAGUGACAUUAUCUUGGUAGAUAAUGAUAAUCCCCACAUGAUUUCACAUGUGGUCAAUCAUUCUAUGAAGUCAUCCAUAUUUUGUGAUGCUUCAAAUAAAACAUAAUGAUUACUGAAAGGACUCGUUUAGAGUCUAUUCUGAAGACUUGCUUCAAAAUACUCUUCCAGCAAACCUAGUCUUUGAUAUGGCAUUGUGGGAUCAGAUAAUUAGCCACUAUCAAUAUAUCAAACCAUGGUCCUGAUACGUCUCCGUCGUAUCUACUUUUCCAAACACUUUUGCCCUUGUUUUGGACUCUAACUUGUAUGAUUUGAAUGGAACUAAUCCGGACUGACGUUGUUUUCAGCAGAAUUACCAUGGUGUUGUUUUAUGUGCAGAAAACAAAUAUUCUCGGAAUGACCUGAAACUCCACGGAACAUCUUAGAAAAAACAAUAAAAAUCCUCGCCAAAGAUGAAGACCAGGGGGGCCACACCCUUCUCAUGAGGGUGGGGGGCGCCCCCCUAGGGCGACCCCCCUACCUCGUGGGCCCCCUGUUGCCUCUCCGACUCCAACUCCACCCCCAUAUAUUGAGUUUCGAUGAGAAAAAAAUCAAAGAGAAGAAAUCAUCACGUUUUACGAUACGGACCGCCGCCAAGCCCUAAAACCUCUCGGGAUGGCUGAUUUGGAGUCCGUUCGGGGCUCCGAAGAGGGGGAUUCAUCGCCGUCAUCAUCAUCAACCAUCCUCCAUCACCAAUUCCAUGAUGCUCACCGCCGUGCGUGAGUAAUUCCAUCAUAGGCUUGCUGGACGGUGAUGGGUUGGAUGAGAUUUAUCAUGUAAUCGAGUUAGUUUUGUUAGGGUUUGAUCCCUAGUAUCCAUUAUGUUCUGAGAUUGAUGUUGCUAUGACUUUGCUAUGCUUAAUGCUUGUCAUUAGGGCCCGAGUGCCAUGAUUUCAGAUCCGAACCUAUUAUGUUUUCAUGAAUAUAUGUGAGUUCUUGAUCCUAUCUUGCAAGUCUAUAGUCACCUACUAUGUGUUAUGAUCCGGCAACCCCGAAGUGACAAUAAUCGGGACCACUCCCGGUGAUGACCAUAGUUUGAGGAGUUCAUGUAUUCACUAUGUGCUAAUGCUUUGUUCUGGUUCUCUAUUAAAAGGAGGCCUUAAUAUCCCUUAGUUUCCAAUAGGACCCCGCUGCCACGGGAGGGUAGGACAAAAGAUGUCAUGCAAGUUCUUUUCCAUAAGCACGUAUGACUAUAUACGGAAUACAUGCCUACAUUACAUUGAUGAAUUGGAGCUAGUUCUGUGUCACCCUAUGUUAUGACUGUUACAUGAUGAACCGCAUCCGGCAUAAUUAUCCAUCACUGAUCCGGUGCCUACGAGUUUUCCAUAUACUGGUUUACGCUUAUUUACUUUCCCGCUGCUACUGUUACAAUCACUACAAAAUACCAAAAACAUUACUUUUGCUGUCUUUACUUUUGUUGCUGCUACCACUACUAUCAUAUUACUUUGCUACUAAACACUUUGCUGCAGAUACUAAGUUUCCAGGUGUGGUUGAAUUGACAACUCAUCUGCUAAUACUUCAGAAUAUUCUUUGGCUCCCCUUGUGUCGAAUCAAUAAAUUUGGGUUGAAUACUCUACCCUCGAAAGCUGUUGCGAUCUCCUAUACUUGUGGGUUAUCAGGUCCCAUCUUGAUUUUCCGGAUGAAAUUGAUCAAGAUCCUUUGUGCCCUAGAUAUAUCUGAGGAUAUUCCUUACACAAACCUUAUACCUUUCGGGGGAUUGCACUCCCAAUAAAUUGUCAAAAACUAUAGUGUCAGGCCUGACAUAUUUUGCAAGAUAUGUGAGUGUGUCGAUGGUAUUUAGAUAUGGCAAUUCAUGCCCCACUAUCACUUCACCAUCUCCCCUAUGUCUCAAGGAUUUUGUAUCCCAUAUUAGGUAUAAUAUGACCAUACGUGUCUUUGAUAUAAUAUAUCCAUAUUGAACUUCUCUAAUACUUUUGGAUAUAUGAAGACUGAUAUCUUAGGGGGAUAUGCUCAAGUCACAAACUUAGCAUAAUUUGGUUUAACCCAAUAAUCCGUCUUAAUCAUGAUUGUGUGUAUUUCAUGUCUUAUAUAGACUUUGACGAUAAGAUCAUCGAUGCCACAAAUUAAGGUGAUGUAAAAUCCAAUCCAGGAUUUCUCCAUGAAUACACGUCAACAAAUAUUAGUAUGAGAGUAAUCCUUGUCAAGUAAUAACUCACUUAGUCGGUUGCACCACACAAUUCUCCGACUAGUUCAAGUCAUAGAAUGACCUCAGAAGUUCCACACAUGCAUGUUGCGAUUUACCUUUGGAUUCAGAGUAUUAAGUCAUUCAAUGACUUCAAUAUAUACAUCCAAACUAACUGACCAUGGGAGUAUGUAGACAUUAAAUGCGUGAACCAUAUGGAUCUGUACUGCCAUUAACAUUCAGUAUCGAAACAUAAUUCCACUCAUACCAAGAAGGUAUGCUACAUCGUAACCGAUGUUGGGUCUCUGCGAAAAACCCUUGUGCUACAAGCCUCGCUUUAUCACCACCUCAUUUAUUUCCGUUUCCAAACAAAAAUUCACUUCUCUUCCCUCUAGAAGAUACUUAUGAGUAGCGAGUUUUACAAUGGUAAAUACCUCUCUUUUGAUGAGCGAGUGCUACUCUUCCUUAAUUGCUUCCUUUCAUUUGAACCAAUAUAAGUGCAACAACACUCUCCAUGGAUUUGGUUCAGGGCCCAAAAGAAUUCUAUCAAUUAUCGAGAAAAUUUUUAUGUUGACAUAUGUAGACUUUCGCAUAUACGAUUCUCAUGAAUCAAUAUCAUUGUGGAAUUCUUGUUAUGCCUCUUAAAUCCUUGUGAUUUUCCACAACAACAGAGUCAAGGUAUUUUGAUGUCCCAACACAUAAAAAUGUGUGCACAUAUGUGAUGGACUUUGGAUGUCGCGCAUCCCUCAGGUGUCAUUCAACCCAAGGUUGAAUCAUAUUUACUGAUCGAGGGGUCAAUCUCCUAUGUUUCCACUGAAACAUAUGAGAACUUAAUCUCAUGAAACCAGAAUUCUCCCCCUCUUGCUCUCAUCUAGGGAUAUGAGUGGUUCAUUAGGUACCUCCACUCAUUCUGGUAAUUGACCAUAAUGACACUUUUGUCAUCAGUAAAUAUACUUGGCAGAUUAUUUGCAAUAUGCUGCAAAUUUCACAUAACCUGAACCUCAAGUUCAGAUUCUUAAGUACGUGGACAAAAUUUCUAUUACAUUUAUUAUCCAUUUCCUGGCAUUCUUUGUGGUACAUAUCUCUCCUUAAUGCCAGAAAAUAUUCUUAUUGCAAAAGCAAUCAGCGUAUGGGCUGCAAAUAACUCCCUUCAUAGGGUUAAGGUAUUCGACGGAUUAACGAUCAAACCAUAAUUAUUCCUCACAUAGAUCCCAACCAUAUGUGAAGGCCCAUGAUAUACGCUGGGGUGGUGACACCGGUAUGCAACCGAAUUACCGCAGAUGGGAAAUACUUCACUUAUUUACACGUACAAACUGCAAGGGGGUGCAAUAUGAUUUGAUCUUAUUUAGACCAAAGUUGCGGAGUGUGAGACCGCAUGUUACCAUCAAAAAAAUGUUGGUAAAUCACAAUUAUGCAACAAUGAAUCUCUUUCAUAAGAGAUCAAGCCAAACCAUUCUGGUUAUGUACUAUAUACUGAAUAUAACCAUUGAAUGCUCGUGAAUGAACUUCAACGGUAUUUACAUUCCAAUGGAAUUAUCCCACGUUAGGAUAAUUUGCUCUAAGUUCGUCAAUUUGAGCAAUUCAUUCAGUAAACACAUGGUUUUGUGUGAAUACACAUCUAAGACAAUCUUCUAGAUGCGUCUAUGAACACCAUAAAGUGUUGGGUUUCGUAGUAAUUUCAAAAAAAUUCCUACGCACACGCAAGAUCAUGGUGAUGCAUAGCAACGAGAGGGGGAGAGUGUGAUCUACGUACCCUUGUAGAUCGACAACGGAAGCGUUAACUUGGUUGAUGUAGUCAUACGUCUUCACGGCCCGACCGAUCAAGCACCGAAACUACGGCACCUCCGAGUUCUAGCACAUGUUCAACUCGACGACGAUCCCGGGACUCCGAUCCAGCAAAGUGUCGGGGAAGAGUUCCGUCAGCACGACGGCGUGGUGACGAUCUUGAUGUACUACUGUCGCAGGGCUUCGCCUAAGCACCGCUACAAUAUUAUCGAGGACUAUGGUGGAAGGGGGCACCGCACACGGCUAAGAAUAUGAUCACGUGGAUCAACUUGUGUCUAGGGGUGCCCCCUGCCCCCGUAUAUAAAGGAGCAAGGGGGAGGAGGCCGGCCGGCCCCUAUGGCGCGCCAAGGAGGAGUCCUCCUCCUAGUAGGAGUAGGACUCCUACUAGGAGGGGGAAAGAAGUGGGGAGGAAGAAGGAAAGGGCCCCCCCCCUCUCCUAGUCCAAUUCGGACCAGGGGGGAGGAGGCGCGCGGCCCACCUUUGGCUGCCCCUCUCUCUCUCCACUAAGGCCCAUAUGGCCCAUUACUUCUCCCGGGGGGUUCCGGUAACCCUCCGGCUCUCCGGUUUUCUCCGAAAUCACCCGGAACACUUCCAGUGUCCGAAUAUAGCCGUCCAAUAUAUAAAUCUUUAUGUCUCGACCAUUUCGAGACUCCUCGUCAUGUCCGUGAUCACAUCCGGGACUCCGAACAACCUUCCGUACAUCCAAAUGCAUAAACUCAUAAUAUAAUUGUCACCGUAACCUUAAGCGUGCGGACCCUACGGGUUCGAGAACAAUGUAGACAUGACCGAGACACGUCUCCGGUCAAUAACCAAUAGCGGAACCUAGAUGCUCAUAUUGGCUCCUACAUAUUCAACGAAGAUCUUUUAUCGGUCAGACCGCAUAACAACAUAUGUUGUUCCCUUUGUCAUCGGUAUGUUACUUGCCCGAGAUUCGAUCGUCGGUAUCCUAUACCUAGUUCAAUCUCGUUACCGGCAAGUCUCUUUACUCGUUCUGUAAUACAUCAUCCUGCAACUAACUCAUUAGUUGCAAUGCUUGCAAGGCUUAAGUGAUGUGCAUUACCGAGAGGGCCCAGUGAUACCUCUCCGACAAUCGGAGUAACAAAUCCUAAUCUCGAAAUACGCCAACUCAACAUGUACCUUUGGAGACACCUGUAGAGCUCCUUUAUAAUCACCCAGUUACGUUGUGACAUUUGGUAGCACAUAAAGUGUUCCUCUGGCAAACGGGAGUUGCAUAAUCUCAUAGUCAUAGGAACAUGUAUAAGUCAUGAAGAAAGCAAUAGCAACAUACUAAACGAUCGGGUGCUAAGCUAAUGGAAUGGGUCAUGUCAAUCAGAUCAUUCAACUAAUGAUGUGAUCCCAUUAAUCAAAUAACAACUCUUUGUCCAUGGUUAGGAAACAUAACCAUCUUUGAUUAACGAGCUAGUCAAGUAGAGGCAUACUAGUGACACUCUGUUUGUCUAUGUAUUCACACAUGUAUUAUGUUUCCGGUUAAUACAAUUCUAGCAUGAAUAAUAAACUUUUAUCAUGAUAUAAGGAAAUAAAUAAUAACUUUAUUAUUGCCUCUAGGGCAUAUUUCAUUCAGUCCCCCACUUGCACUAGAGUCAAUAAUCUAGAUUACACAGUAAUGAUUCUAACACCCAUGGAGCCUUGGUGCUGAUCAUGUUUUGCUCGUGGAAGAGGCUUAGUCAACGGGUCUGCAACAUUCAGAUCCGUAUGUAUCUUGCAAAUCUCUAUGUCUCCCACCUGGACUAGAUCCCGGAUGGAAUUGAAGCGUCUCUUGAUGUGCUUGGUUCUCUUGUGAAAUUUGGAUUCCUUCGCCAAGGCAAUUGCACCAGUAUUGUCACAAAAGAUUUUCAUUGGACCCGAUGCACUAGAUAUGACACCUAGAUCGGAUAUGAACUCCUUCAUCCAGACUCCUUCAUUCGCUGCUUCCGAAGCAGCUAUGUAUUCCGCUUCACACGUAGAUCCCGCCACGACGCUCUGUUUAGGACUGCACCAACUGACAGCUCCACCGUUUAAUGUAAACACGUAUCCGGUUUGCGAUUUAGAAUCGCCCGGAUCAGUGUCAAAGCUUGCAUCAACGUAACCGUUUACGAUGAGCUCUUUGUCACCUCCAUAUACGAGAAACAUAUCCUUAGUCCUUUUCAGGUACUUCAGGAUGUUCUUGACCGCUGUCCAGUGAUCCACUCCUGGAUUACUUUGGUACCUCCUUGCUAGACUUAUAGCAAGGCACACAUCAGGUCUGGUACACAGCAUUGCAUACAUGAUAGAGCCUAUGGUUGAAGCAUAGGGAACAUCUUUCAUUUUCUCUUUAUCUUCUGCAGUGGUCGGGCAUUGAGUCUGACUCAACUUCACACCUUGUAACACAGGCAAGAACCCUUUCUUUGCUUGAUCCAUUUUGAACUUCUUCAAAAUCUUGUCAAGGUAUGUGCUUUGUGAAAUUCCAAUUAAACGUCUUGAUCUAUCUCUAUAGAUCUUUAUGUCUAAUAUGUAACCAGCUUCACUGAGGUCUUUCAUUGAAAAACUCUUAUUCAAGUAUCCCUUUAUGCUAUCCAGAAAGUCUAUAUCAUUUCCAAUCAGUAAUAUGUCAUCCACAUAUAAUAUCAGAAAUGCUACAGAGCUCCCACUCACUUUCUUGUAAAUACAGGCUUCUCCAAAAGUCUGUAUAAAACCAAAUGCUUUGAUCACACUAUCAAAGCGUUUAUUCCAACUCCGAGAGGCUUGCACCAGUCCAUAAAUGGAUCGCUGGAGCUUGCACACUUUGUUAACUCCCUUUGGAUCGACAAAACCUUCCGGUUGCAUCAUAUACAACUCUUCCUCCAGAAAUCCAUUCAGGAAUGCAGUUUUGACAUCCAUCUGCCAAAUUUCAUAAUCAUAAAAUGCGGUAAUUGCUAACAUGAUUCGGACAGACUUAAGCAUCGCUACGGGUGAGAAGGUCUCAUCGUAGUCAACCCCUUGAACUUGCCGAAACCCUUUUGCGACAAGUCGAGCUUUGUAGACAGUAAUAUUACCGUCGGUGUCAGUCUUCUUCUUGAAGAUCCAUUUAUUCUCAAUUGCUUGCCGAUCAUUGGGCAAGUCAACCAAAGUCCAUACUUUGUUCUCAUACAUGGAUCCCUUCUCAGAUUUCAUGGCUUCAAGCCAUUUUGCGGAAUCUGGGCUCACCAUCGCUUCUUCAUAGUUCAUAGGUUCAUCAUGAUCUAGUAGCAUGACUUCCAGAACUGGAUUACCGUACCACUCUGGCGCGGAUCUCACUCUGGUUGAUCUACGAGGUUCAGUAGUAUCUUGUUCUGAAGUUACAUGAUCAUUAUCAUUAGCUUCCUCACUAAUUGGUGUAGGUGUCACAGAAACAGUUUUCUGUGAUGCACUACCUUCCAAUAAGGGAGCAGGUACAGUUACCUUGUCAAGUUCUACUUUCCUCCCACUCACUUCUUUCGAGAGAAACUCCUUCUCCAGAAAGUUUCCGAACUUAGCAACAAAAGUCUUGCCUUCGGAUCUGUGAUAGAAGCUGUAUCCAAUAGUCUCCUUUGGAUAUCCUAUGAAGACACAUUUCUCUGAUUUGGGUUCGAGCUUAUCAGGUUGAAGCUUUUUCACAUAAGCAUCGCAACCCCAAAUUUUCAGAAACGACAACUUUGGUUUCUUGCCAAACCAUAGUUCAUAAGGCGUCGUCUCAACGGAUUUUGAUGGUGCCCUAUUUAACGUGAAUGCGGCCGUCUCCAAAGCAUAACCCCAAAAUGAUAGCGGUAAAUCAGUAAGACACAUCAUAGAUCGCACCAUAUCUAGUAAAGUACGAUUACAACGUUCGGACACACCAUUACGCUGUGGUGUUCCGGGUGGCGUGAGUUGCGAAACUAUUCCGCAUUGUUUCAAAUGUACACCAAACUCGUAACUCAAAUGUUCUCCUCCGUAGAAACUUUAUUUUCUUGUUAUGAUGAUUUUCAACUUCACUCUGAAAUUCUUUGAACUUUUCAAACGUUUCAGACUUAUGUUUCAUUAAGUAGAUAUACCCAUAUCUGCUUAAGUCAUCUGUGAAGGUGAGAAAAUAACGAUAUCCGCCACGAGCCUCAAUAUUCAUCGGACCACAUACAUCUGUAUGUAUGAUUUCCAACAAAUCUGUUGCUCUCUCCAUAGUACCGGAGAACGGCGUUUUAGUCAUCUUGCCCAUGAGGCACGGUUCGCAAGUACCAAGUGAUUCAUAAUCAAGUGGUUCCAAAAGUCCAUCAGUAUGGAGUUUCUUCAUGCGCUUUACACCGAUAUGACCUAAACGGCAGUGCCACAAAUAAGUUGCACUAUCAUUAUCAACUCUGCAUCUUUUGGCUUCAACAUUAUGAAUAUGUGUGUUACUACUAUCGAGAUUCAAUAAGAAUAGACCACUCUUCAAGGGUGCAUGACCAUAAAAGAUAUUACUCAUAUAAAUAGAACAACCAUUAUUCUCUAAUUUAAAUGAAUAACCGUCUCGCAUCAAACAAGAUCCAGAUAUAAUGUUCAUGCUUAACGCUGGCACCAAAUAACAAUUAUUUAGGUCUAAUGUUAAUCCCAAAGGUAGAUGUAGAGGUAGCGUGCCGACCGCGAUCACAUCGACUUUGGAACCGUUUCCCACGCGCAUCGUCACCUCGUCCUUAGUCAAUCUUCGCUUAAUCCGUAGUCUCUGUUUCGAGUUGCAAAUAUUAGCAACAGAACCAGUAUCAAAUACCCAGGUGCUACUACGAGCAUUAGUAAGGUACACAUCAAUAACAUGUAUAUCACAUAUACCUUUGUUCACCUUGCCAUCCUUCUUAUCCGCCAAAUACUUGGGGCAGUUCCGCUUCCAGUGACCAGUCUGCUUGCAGUAGAAGCACUCAGUUUCAGGCUUAGAUCCAGACUUGGGUUUCUUCUCUUGAGCAGCAACUUGCUUGCUGUUCUUCUUAAAGUUCCCCUUCUUCUUUCCUUUGCCCUUUUUUCUUGAAACUAGUGGUCUUGUUGACCAUCAACACUUGAUACUCCUUUUUGAUUUCUACCUCCGCAGCUUUCAGCAUUGCGAAGAGCUCGGGAAUAGUCUUAUUCAUCCCUUGCAUAUUAUAGUUCAUCACGAAGCACUUGUAGCUUGGUGGCAGUGAUUGAAGAAUUCUGUCAAUGACGCAAUCAUCUGGAAGAUUAACUCCCAUUUGAAUCAAGUGAUUAUUAUACCCAGACAUUUUGAGUAUAUGCUCACUGACAGAACUGUCCUCCUCCAUCUUGCAGCUAUAGAACUUAUUGGAGACUUCAUAUCUCUCAAUCCGGGCAUUUGCUUGAAAUAUUAACUUCAACUCCUGGAACAUCUCAUAUACUCCAUGAUGUUCAAAACGUCGUUGAAGUCCCGGUUCUAAGCCAUAAAGCAUGGCACACUGAACUAUCGAGUAGUCAUCAGCUUUGCUCUGCCAGACGUUCACAACAUCUGGUGUUGCUCCAGCAGCAGGCCUGACACCCAGCGGUGCUUUCAGGACGUAAUUCUUCUAUGCGGCAAUCAGGAUAAUCCUCAAGUUACGCACCCAGUCCGUGUAAUUGCUACCAUCAUCUUUCAACUUUGCUUUCUCAAGGAACGCAUUAAAAUUCAACGGAACAACAGCAUGGGCCAUUUAUCUACAAUCAUACAUAAAACAAGCAAGAUACUAUCAGGUACUAAGUUCAUGAUAAAUUUAGGUUCAAUUAAUCAUAUUACUUAAAGAACUCACACUUAGAUAGACAUCCCUCUAAUCCUCUAAGUGAUUACGUGAUCCAAAUCAAGUAAACCAUGUCCGAUCAUCAUGUGAGAUGGAGUAGUUUCAUUGGUGAACAUCACUAUGUUGAUCAUAUCUACUAUAUGAUUCACGCUCGACCUUUCGGUCUCCGUGUUCCGAGGACAUAUCUGUAUAUGCUUGGCUCGUCAAGUAUAACCUAAGUUUUCCGCGUGUGCAACUAUUUUGCACCCGUUGUAUUUGAACGUAGAGCCUAUCACACCCGAUCAUCACAUGGUGUCUCAGCACGAAGAACUUUCGCAAUGGUGCAUACUCAGGGAGAACACUUCUUGAUAAUUAGUGAGAGAUCAUCUUAUAAUGCUACCGUCAAUCAAAGCAAGAUAAGAUGCAUAAAAGAUAAACAUCACAUGCAAUCAAUAUAAGUGAUAUGAUAUGGCCAUCAUCAUCUUGUGCUUGUGAUCUCCAUCUCCGAAGCACCGUCAUGAUCACCAUCAUCACCGGCGCGACACCUUGAUCUCCAUCGUAGCAUCGUUGUCAUCUCGCCAAUCUUAUGCUUCCACGACUAUCGCUACCGCUUAGUGAUGAAGUAAAGCAUUACAGCGCGAUUGCAUUGCAUACAAUAAAGCGACAACCAUAUGGCUCCUGCCAGUUGCCGAUAACUCGGUUACAAAACAUGAUCAUCUCAUACAAUAAAAUUUAGCAUCAUGUCUUGACCAUAUCACAUCACAACAUGCCCUGCAAAAACAAGUUAGGCGUCCUCUACUUUGUUGUUGCAUGUUUUACGUGGCUGCUACGGGCUUAAGCAAGAACCAAUCUUACCUACGCAUCAAAACCACAAUGAUAGUUUGUCAAGUUGGUGUUGUUUUAACCUUCGCAAGGACCGGGCGUAGCCACACUCGGUUCAACUAAAGUUGGAGAAACUGUCACCCGCAAGCCACCUAUGUGCAAAGCACGUCGGGGAAACCGGUCUUGCGUAAGCGUACGCGUAAUGUCGGUCCGGGCCGCUUCGUCCAACAAUACCGUCGAACCAAAGUAUGACAUGCUGGUAAGCAGUAUGACUUAUAUCGCCCACAACUCACUUGUGUUCUACUCGUGCAUAUAACAUCAACAUAUAAAACCUAGGCUCGGAUGCCACUGUUGGGUUUCGUAGUAAUUUCAAAAAAUUUCCUACGCACACGCAAGAUCAUGGUGAUGCAUAGCAACGAGAGGGGGAGAGUGUGAUCUACGUACCCUUGUAGAUCGACAACGGAAGUGUUAACUUGGUUGAUGUAGUCGUACGUCUUCACGGCCCGACCGAUCAAGCACCGAAACUACGGCACCUCCGAGUUCUAGCACACGUUCAGCUCGAUGACGAUCCCCGGACCCCGAUCCAGCAAAGUGUCGGGGAAGAGUUCCGUCAGCACGACGGUGUGGUGACGAUCUUGAUGUACUACUGUUGCAGGGCUUCGCCUAAGCAUCGCUACAAUAUUAUAGAGGACUAUGGUGGAAGGGGGCACCGCACACGGCUAAGAAUAUGAUCACGUGGAUCAGCUUGUGUCUAGGGGUGCCCCCUGCCCCCGUAUAUAAAGGAGCAAGUGGGAGAAGGCCGGCCGGCCCCUAUGGCGCGCCAAGGAGGAGUCCUCCUCCUAGUAGGAGUAGGACUCCUACUAGGAGGGGAAAGAAGUGGGGAGGGAGAAGGAAAGGGGGGCGCCGCCCCCCCCCUCCUAGUCCAAUUCGGACCAGGGGGGAGGAGGCGCGCAGCCCACCUUUGGCUGCCCCUCUCUCUCUCCACUAAGGCCCAUAUGGCCCAUUACUUCUCNNNNNNNNNNNNNNNNNNNNNNNNNNNNNNNNNNNNNNNNNNNNNNNNNNNNNNNNNNNNNNNNNNNNNNNNNNNNNNNNNNNNNNNNNNNNNNNNNNNNNNNNNNNNNNNNNNNNNNNNNNNNNNNNNNNNNNNNNNNNNNNNNNNNNNNNNNNNNNNNNNNNNNNNNNNNNNNNNNNNNNNNNNNNNNNNNNCCGGUAACCCUCCGGCUCUCCGUUUUCUCCGAAAUCACCCAGAACACUUCCGGUGUCCGAAUAUAGCCGUCCAAUAUAUCAAUCUUUAUGUCUCGACCAUUUCAAGACUCCUCGUCAUGUCCGUGAUCACAUCCGGGACUCCGAACAACCUUCGGUACAUCAAAAUGCAUAAACUCAUAAUAUAACUGUCAUCGUAACCUUAAGCGUGCGUACCCUACGGGUUCGAGAACAAUGUAGGCAUGACCGAGACACGUCUCCGGUCAAUAACCAAUAGCGGAACCUGGAUGCUCAUAUUGGCUCCUACAUAUUCUACGAAGAUCUUUUAUCGGUCAGACCGCAUAACAACAUAUGUUGUUCCCUUUGUCAUCGGUAUGUUACUUGCCCGAGAUUCGAUCGUCGGUAUCCUAUACCUAGUUUAAUCUCGUUACCGGCAAGUCUCUUUACUCGUUAUGUAAUACAUCAUCCCGCAACUAACUCAUUAGUUGCAAUGCUUGCAAGGCUUAAGUGAUGUGCAUUACCGAGAGGGCCCAGAGAUACCUCUCCGACAAUCGGAGUGACAAAUCCUAAUCUCGAAAUACGCCAACUCAACAUGUACCUUUGGAGACACCUGUAGAGCUCCUUUAUAAUCACCCAGUUACGUUGUGACGUUUGGUAGCACACAAAGUGUUCCUCUGGCAAACGGGAGUUGCAUAAUCUCAUAGUCAUAGGAACAUGUAUAAGUCAUGAAGAAAGCAAUAGCAACAUACUAAACGAUCGGGUGCUAAGCUAAUGGAAUGGGUCAUGUCAAUCAGAUCAUUCAACUAACGAUGUGAUCCCGUUAAUCAAAUAACAACUCUUUGUCCAUGGUUAGGAAACAUAACCAUCUUUGAUUAACGAGCUAGUCAAGUAGAGGCAUACUAGUGACACUCUGUUUGUCUAUGUAUUCACACAUGUAUUAUGUUUCCGGUUAAUACAAUUCUAGCAUGAAUAAUAAACUUUUAUCAUGAUAUAAGGAAAUAAAUAAUAACUUUAUUAUUGCCUCUAGGCAUAUUUCCUUCAUAAAGUACCAACAUAACCCAGAUAAUGGUUGAAUAAUCCAAACAUAUUCUUGAAUGCAAUCAAGAGUAUUGGCUGGCUCAUUUCAAAUUUUAAGGUGAAAGUGCCUUAAAAUUAAUUCCCCAAUGUCACAUGUAGUGCACAAAAUAAUCUGAUGAUUGUUGGGAAUAUUGCAACUUGUCAAGUUGUGGCCAACAGAAUUGUCAAUAAUGUCUCUAAUCGUCCAAUACCAUGAUGAUAAAGGAGGAAACAUUAUUAUGUAUGCAACAAGAUUGAGUAUGAACUGACUCAUACACUCAAUUUCCUCAAUUAUCAUGUUCUAGGGACAAGACGUUACAAUUUAUAUUACAUGUAGUAGUAAAAUUAUAGGCUAAUGAUAUUUAGGGAUAACUAGGAGACUACACGAGAUCUCCAAAUUAUCUUUGGAAUAUCAUUCCACAAGCAUAUCAUCAAUAUAGAGGAGUUCAUUCUCCUUUACCAUGCCAGAAUAUUUUCUGGUUGUUUCCUUUUGAAGUGGAACUUCAAACUUAUCCCAUUAAAUACAUUUGCCUCCAGUGAGACGGUGGUAUGAUUCAACCCAAUACUUGACCAAUUGGUAAUCAUUAGUACGACAUUUCGUAAAACCACCAUUCUGACAAACUUGAAAGUUUUCUUUAUGAUCAUUUAAAUUAAAUGACCCAUUGCCUUUUGAGAUAUACACUCAAUUUCUCCUUGUCAUUUUUUUCUUCACUUUACAUUCAACUCCUCAUGGUUCUCUAACCACUAUUGCUUAGUACUAAGAGUACUAGCAUGAGUUUCAGGAAUUGCAACCUGAAACAAAGAUGAUAUUUCUGUUUACCAUCCUAGGAGAACGUAAAGUGCAGUAAGAACUUAUAGUCAGAUAUGUAUCUGAAGCCGCCUUAUCACAUAAUCUCAACGUAGUGUUGAUUUAUAGACAACAGAAUUAUAAGGCUCAAUGGACUCGAAGUCCUGACAACGAAUGAAUAAUCAUUCAUGUGAUGCUUAUAACAAUAUAUCUCGCCCCAAUGAAGGCUCAAAGGGAAAAUGGAUAUUCAUCAUCCAUUACAUGCUCAGUUUGAGAACCGAGCCAUUGCGAUGACACAUAAAUGCAAAUAUGCAUAUUCUUAGCUAUUUAUAAAUAGCCAUGACAUUUUAUGCAGGUGGAGUUUAUGUGGAAACAAGGCUCCAGGUCGACAAAAUCUUUAAUGUCCAUGACCCAUGUUAAAUAGUUACUGCCACCAAAUGUCAUCUCAUCACAUUUCCUUUAUAAAAAGGUCAGCCAUAUGUUGCAUGAAAUUCUCAUGCAUUAAUUUACCUUUAGUAAAUUAAGUAGGAUGAAAAUGCUAUGGCUAAGCAUAAUCAUGGUGAUGGUGAUUUUAAGUGACCCAUAGGGCAAGCCUUCCAGAAGAACACCGUAGUGUGGUUUGGAUCUUCCAAGUAAAGGUAGUCACCUCAAAAGGGACAAACCUUUAAUUUCCUUAAAACACAUAGAGGUAGUCGACCACCUAGUGGUGCCUCAGUCUUAUGGACAAUUCCCAUUAAUCAUAGCCUCCACAACCUUAUGUUAUUUAUAACAUAUGAAGGUAAUCACCAUAAAAUGACGUGAACCUCUCAGCUGUGCAUGAAACUUAAUUCAUAUCUAUGAUGGCGUCUCAUAAGUUGUGUAUGCAUGGAAGGUAAUCACCAAAAUAUGCAAGUAUUUGGCAUAAUUCUCUUCAUAGCAUAACAUGCAGCAUAGUUACCAUUGCCUUGGAUUUAUCUCCUGAUGGAGUAUGUGACACCAUAGUCACAACCAAUGACAAAUGCUAUGAAAUUGACAAGUAUUUGGAAAAACAUCUUGAAGAUAGGCACUACUGGUGUAGGCCUUAUAAUGGCUAUGUCAUAAGUUUUGUGCCUUCAUUUUUUUUGCUUUGAACACAUGGAGAUAAUCACUACUAAGUAGUGUAGACCUCACUCUUAUGGAGCUUCUCACAACCUUGUGUUAAUUAAAAACACAUUGAAGGUAAUCAUCACAUAGUGAUGUAGACCUCACAGUUGUGAACGAAACUAAUCGUUGUCAUAAUGCAAUCCAUAAGUUGUGUGAAAAAUUGAAGAUAGUCAUUAUGUCGGAACGAUAUAAUAUAGACCUCACAAUAACAUGGAUAAUCUGCAAUUAAGCAGGAGAUACCAUUUGUCGAUUCCUCGUUACAAAUGUAAAUUUGACAUAGUCAGGCAGCGUCAUACACUUUACUACCUUAUGUUUCCCAAAUGUGCAAGCAAGUUCCAUAUUCUAUUCCAAUAAUGGAAUCAACAUAUUGCUUUGCAACAAUAUUACUCAUGUAAUAAAUGCAGAAGUAUAGACAUACUUGUGCAACAUAUAUAAGGACUUGGGGCCUCAUAUGAUCAUUUUACAUGAUGUAAAAUGAUGCAUAAUCAAUUAUAUUAUGCAAUUCAACUAGACCUGUUGGUCUGGCACGUAUAUUUGCUCUGAAGCCUAGGGCAUAAAACGCAAGCAACAAUAACCCUAUGGUUAAAGUGCCGAAAACAGUCAGCCCAUGGCUAAACUGCAAAGUCCAACGAGCAUCAUAUUGCUCUAUUGUAAGUUUCCGUAAGCCCCAAGGGCUAACCAGAACAAGGACUUUUCAGGAUUGCGAACCAACCUGUGGUUGAGAUGGUUAGGUGGACAGUGGUAUCCCCAACCCAACAUGGUUCAAAUCCUGGUGCUCGCAUUGAGGUGCUCAUAGGGGUAGAGUGUGCGUGUGUGCGUUUAUAGGGAUGAGUGUAUGCGCGUGUAUAUGAGCGCUUGUGUCUGUACUGAUGCUAAAAAAAAGACUUUUCAGGAUUAUCAAAGAAUCCUUGGCUGAUUUGCAAAAUCACCAAAUGAUAGGAUUUCCAUCCUUCUCCCGUCGGGAUAGGCUAGCCGUGCCGCCGGCCUUUAGGAGGCCGCCACGCCUGGGGGGAGGUCAUGUUCGACCGCCGUCGCUAGCCUAGGGCGCCCCACCACCAAGCCUUGAUGGUUGUGCGUCGCCGCACGGGAUGGCCGCCUGCUUCCGUGCUCCGUUGCCUCGCCGCCCGCCUCUUGAAGAAGAGGCCGCGCCGCUGUACGGAGCCGCCGGGCUUGGCUCCGGCCGUAGGCCUUGCCUUGAGCCACCAUUCUUGGCUGCCGCUGCCCCGAUUGCCGCGCACGUCCAUGGCGGCCGUCGGGCACGAGCACCCGUGCCGAGUUGGCCGUCGCCACAGCAGUGGCACCGCACGCUUUUGCCGCCACGGCUUCCACCGGUUGAAGGUCCGCGAAGUUCCGGUCGUGGCUGCCACCGCUGAUGGCCUCCGUUAGUGCCGUUGAGGCUUCAGUUCGUGGACGCCUGUCUGCUUCGUCUUUGCGUGAGGAACGCCAUCGCUGGCAGUUCUGGAAUUAUGAUUAGAACAGGCAUCAAAGUGCAACGGUUAGUUCAUCAAUCUAAACCCAAUCUCUAGUAAUCAAUACAAUGCACUAAAAAUUGAAUGAGUGCAUGCAUGUGCAUGCCAAUUGAUCUAUGUCAAUUGAUUUUCCUUCCCGGGCAUGGACGAGAUGUGCAUGCCGUGUCCCAAGUGCCGAUGCAGGGGCAAUUCUUCUGGCCUGGUUUGCUUGUUCUCUGGAAAACCGCGUCAAUCAUGCAUGCUGCAGCCCGCGUUGCUGACGCGGCAUCAGGACCAGGUGCAACCCGCAGUCGUGUACAGCCGCCGUGGGACUACAUGUCGCUGCGCAGCCGGAUGGCAUGGUCGGAGCAUUCGUUGUGGAGGCCGCCGUCGAGAGGCAUCUCCUCUUCCUUCCAUGUUUUCGUUCCAUGCCGGCGAUGCCUUGCACGCAGCCCUCCUUCUUGGGACUGCCUAUCUAUUUCUCGUUCCGUGGUCUAAUUGCUUUUGGCAGAGAUAAGUGCUGAUAACGUAUUGUAGAGCAAAAUUAAAGAGACAAACAAAGAGUCCAAAUGAUCCACUAGUUUCAUUACAACAUGGGAGAUCCACUUAUAUACAUGGUGAAGGGGUGUGUUGGGGAGACACCUCUUCCCCCAACAAACACCUUCUGGGAGGCAUCCCUCCCACAAUUGAUCACAUGUUUUAUUUCUCAACACACAAAGGCAGCGGGUGGCGAUGAUUCCGUCUACGGAAUUCUCCUCAGGAUCAUCCUUUUACUUGAAAUUCUUCUUGUUCUGGAAACAUGUGAAAAUGAACUUGACAGUCGGUCGCCUUUAGAGCAUCUCUAGCCGUUCGGCUUCCCAGGGGCUGGAAAUAGCACCGCCCUGGGGGCGAACCGGCGAUAAUUUGACUGUGGGGCGAUCGGGUUUCCAGCCGCCGCCCCCAGGUGACAUUUUCUAAAGGUUUUUAAAAACAUAGUCAGGCAAAUUUCGGGCAAACAUGACACAGAUUCGGCUAUAUUUAGGCAUUCCAUCGUCUUUUUACAUAUUGAAAACAUAACCUAAAAGGAAAAAAAAGAAGAAGAAAAAGUAUUGUUGCCAAGCCACCGCCGCCCGCGCGCGCCCACAGGCCGAAGAGCUUGCUGAAGGCGCCGUAGUCGCCAUCGUCGUCAUCCUCCUUCUCCUUCUUCACAUCGCGGCCGUCCCUACUAGACCCCUGCCCAGGGUCGCCCUAGCGGACUGGUUUGGCUGCCGGCGACGCCUCGUUGUCGCUGUCCUCGAGGAUGAUGACGCCUCCCUCGUCGCGGCCACGGUGCCGACCGGCGAUCUCCUCUAGGAAGCAGCGUUGGCGCUCCAUCUCCAACCGGGCCUAGUCUUCACGCGUCCACUUGAUAGCGGCCUCGUCGGCGGCGGCCAUGUCAUCGUGCUUGCUCUUCACGGCAGUGAGCCCCGGCUCCGUCUUCGGCUUCACGAGGCGGGAGGUACGAGCAGAGGAGGCAUGCCCGCCCUCGUUGAUGACGAGGGCGGCGCCGCGAGUGCGCCGGCAGAGCGGCGUCUCCACGGGCUCAGCCUUGACGCUGACGAGCGUCGUCGACCCGGAGGAACAGGAGGACGAGGAGGAGGAGGAGGACCCUCCCGCCAUGCGCCUCGGCAGCCACGGGCCGCCACUCUGGCGGGGGGCCGGGGCUGCCGGGUACUCAAGCGGCAGAUAGUUGCCGCCCUCGAGGUACUCAAGGAUGGCGUGGAGCGUGCGGCCGGGGGCGCCCCACCACAGGUGGCGGCCGUCGCUCUUGUUGUGGCCCCUUAUCACCGGCACGUGGUUGGUGGAGGUGAGCUGCUCCUCGUGGCGGCGCUGAAAGUACGCUGCACAAUGCGCGUGGGCAUCGGCGGCGUACUCUGAGAUGUCCCGCUCCUCCUCCGUCAGAGAGGCCCAAACACGCUCGAUCUCGGCGUGGAAGGGGCCGGCCUCGAUCGUCUGCAGGGGUAUGGGGACACCUCCACCGCCCCGACACGCGCAUGUCAAGUGGCGCUGGAUAGUUCGCCUGGUGGAGGAGAUGGGCUUCCCACUCGUGCAGGUGGCGUCGGCCGAAGCCGUUGGUCGCCGCUCCGUCGCUUGGGAACUACUCUCCUAUCGGCAGGGCCUACACGCGGUGAGAGAGGGAGAUGCGAUGGGGGGCGUCGGCGGUGAGAGAGAGGAUGCGGGCGAGUGCGUCCACCGGCGAGGAAGGGGGCGGAUUUUAUAGUGGCCGGGGGGCGGCAAGCGUGUGUAUACGUGGCGGGAGGAGGCGCGUCGACGCACUGCGCCGCCCGUGAGGAAUCAAUGUAAAGCUGACCGGCGGUAGCCAUGGCAUUGAUUCCCUACGGGAAACCGAGGCAAUGAGGAAGACGAGACGAGACCGAUCGCUGAUUCGGCGGCCCCACAGCGCGCCGGGUUCGCCCAGGGGCCGCUGGCGCCAAAUUCAGGUCUAACCGACGAGAAAUGGGCUUCUGGGGCCGAUUGGGCUGUAUUUUUAGCGUCGGCGAUAAAAAAGGGCCCGGGGGAGGAGGGUUGUUGGGGGCGAGUGGAGAUGCUCUUAGCUACUUGUUGAGGAAGAGGGUGCUUGGAUCCAAGGGACUAUUUUUAGUCUGACUAAAAAUAGUCUCUUUUAGAGGCUAAAGUUCCAAGCACCCCUGACUAAAGAAAGGCUAGGACUAGUCUUGAGGCUAAAAUUUUUUAGUCAUAGGAAACCUACUAAAAUAUGUAUUAGCCUUCUCUCUCCUCAUUUAAUUCCUCUCCUUUAACACAUGCGAGUUCUGUAUUGGAGGGUUUGGAGGAUAAUAAAUGCUCAAUAACUUGAUUUUAGUCUUUUUAGUAUUUGGAUCCAAGCAUGGAUGAGGCUAGCAAGUUUUAGUUCCACUACUUUUAGUCAUGGGACUAAAAUGUAUUCAAGCACCCUCGAACUCUUCCUUUGCGCAUUCAUUGAGUACGUUGUUUAUCAUUUUUUCUCUCUAAUUUUUAAAAUAUUGGUAAAAGGUACACAUCCGAUAUGUUAUAGCUCAAAUAAAUAAUGGCAACCACCAGAAACACCCCACCAAAUUCUGGUAUUAUCGUAAUAAUUAUUCCAACUACUACACGUGAAAGAUAGUUUAGAGUAAUGCAUAAAACGACAAAGAAUGAACAACCAAGAGCACUAUUGAAUAACCAUGUACACACUGGCUGAUAAAAUGGCAAGAGACGAGGUGCCUUCACACUUACAACGUCCAACUAUUAGUUCGCUAUUGCGUAGAGAUGAGGUUAGUUUCAAAUAGCGAAGAUAGCAUCCGCUAUUGCUCAAACUAAAUGUCAUUACAUUUUGUUAAUGAUCUAGAAAUAUGCCGCUACACGGACAUAGUGCCCGCAAUAUCACCCGCUAUCCGCAUUCCGCUAUGCGGACCCCAAUCCGCUAUUUAAAACCAACUAUACAUGCAAUCCGUGAUGUCAAACCCGCUUAGUUCUGAUUUCUCUAGAGACGGUGGACAUUCAUGCAACAAUGACGGAGUCAGGACUGCACCAGAUCUUUGUUAGCUAGAUAGGCUUGGAAGGCAUAGGAAAUUACUCUUCCGCGUCAUCUUAAUGUUACAUGACCAACUUGGUGCCUACAACCUCCUUUAGGGAUACUCAAAUGACGUGUAAAAGCCAGCUAGCCAGAGAAUCCAAGAAAAAUAGUGGCCUUGUCUAAAUUGUACUUCCUUGGACAUUCCAAUACAGCAGAUGUCAGGAGUUUUUUGCCCUGCUUCCCCUGGCCAAAAGGCAUUUCUAGUUUUCUACUGUGUGAAAGAAUGGCAUCAUGAUUCACACGCGAUGUCUCAGCGAAAAUUUACUGUAUACUCUAGCACUAUUAAUUAUUGCUCCCAUUAGUACCACACCUGUACUUGGUUCUUGCAUUGCCAUGUGGUUGUUCGGGAACAGGUGGAGAUGGAAUCACCCGUUCGUGCAUUCGGAGGCAGAGGCGAACAAAGCUAUUGCCUUUCCUUUUUGACAUACUGGUGAUUUUAUCUACGGAUUUUUCCUCAGGAUAUAUGACUUAUUUUGAGUUCUUCUUGUUCCAGGGAUGCACUACCCAUAUAUGCAUAAGUACGUAAAUGUCGACUACUGAUACUGCAUUUGAUAGUCUCCUUGCUACAUGCAAAGGGGCUCCUGAAUAUAUUACUCAAACGUGUCACAACAAGUUGUGUUACAGAAUUACAGGACUACAUUACAACGUGCAGAGAGGAAGAACUGUCACGAGGAGAUGGCUUCCUUGUCACAUGUCCUGGAGAGCCUAUCUGACCACAGGUCUAGAUUGGAGAUGAUUAGUGUAGAGGAGAUAGUGGAGUGCCUAUCUAUGGCCCUAAAGGCUUUAUCGUUACGAGCUUCCCAACUUUUCCAUAAGAUUGUGAGAAAUACGAAAGACUAGGCGCCGGCAGGCGCAUGUGGAUGAGGCAAGGCAUCCCAGAGAUCGUCGAUGGAGUCCGAAAUUGGUCUGAUGCCCACACAUUGCCAAAUGCAGGCGGCGAUGGGACAGACGAUGAAGAGGUGGGGGGCGUGUUCGAAGGGCGCCAGACACCGCGGGCAGGCAGCGCCGGAGAUGAUGUGCUUGUGGACGAGGUUGGCGCAUGUGUGGAGCCUGUCGCGGUGCGGCCAAGCAAAGAUCUUGAUCUUGUUAGGUACCUUGGAGUGCCAAAUAAGUGGUGCAUUCCAGUCGUCGUCGGUUGUCCGGAUGAGUACAUCAUAGGCACUCCUAGUGGAGAACGCAAGGCCCCAAUGAGAAAGCGCUGACCCUUAUCUAAGACGGCAAAGAAUCCUGCAGCACAGCCAAAAGCAAAACCAACUCCUGCGAAGCGUAAAAGGUUAAACAAUUUCGCGGGUUAGCCUCCAAACCAAAAUGCCCAAUAUUUGCAACCCUAAUUAUGGGCACCUCUGAGUGGGAGAAGAGGUUGGGGAAUGUUGUAGCUAGUGGUUUUGGGGUGAGCCAAGUAUCAUAUCAAAAGUAGGUUGAGGUUCCAUUGCUGGUAAGCACAAAGGCUAUACAUUGUAAUUUAGGCAUAUGGUGGUUUAUUGUUUUGCAUAGGUAGGAUGUAUUGGAGGCAAGGUUAAGAAAAGCGUUGGGGUGCUGCAAGCUUAACCAUUCUAGCCAGGGAGCAUAUUUAGGGAGAGGUGAUUUGACAACGAACUUCAUAAGUAAGCAAGAGUUCUGAACAUGCAAGUUUUAAAUGCCUAAGCCACCUUAUUUUUUGGGUGUACAAAUGUUGUUCCAAGUGAUGCGGCAUUGUGCACCAGAACAGGUGUCUUCUACCGAGGAAAAGAAGGCACGUCUAAUUGCAUCUAUUAUUUUGAGAACUUUUUUGGGGAUGAGGAAGACCGAAAUGUAGUAGGUUAGGAUUGAAUCUAUGACCGCUGUAAUGAGAACUAAACGAUCCCCUUGAGUUAUUAAUCUAGCCCGCCAACUAGAGAGGUAUUUUUUGCAGCGCUCUAAGAUGGGUAGAAAGGUAUUAGGUGGUGGUCGGAGAGGUGUGAGCGGGGGACCAAGAUAAGGUUGGGGGAAGAACGACAUUGCACAACCCAAAAUAUUUGCUAUGGCAUAUGUGAUGUGUUGCGGGGAGUGGAGUUCAAUAGUGAUUUUGGAAAAGUUGAUUGUGAGGCUUUGCGGAAGCGAAAAGAUCUACAAUAUUUUUAGGAAGGAGGCAUCAGAAGGCGAAGCUGCGGCAACGAAGUAUGUCGUCGGGUACUAGUUAAGCAGCACAAUUCAUGCACACAACUUGUAUUGAUUUCCUCUUUGGGUAUUUAUACAAUUACAUGACGGAGGGAGAUGCAAGGGAGUGGAGAGGUGGUUAGCUACAAUGAGCAUGUCGUGCAUUCGUGAAGGGCACAUGAUGUGCACACGCUGUUGAGGGCGUCCGCGGAAUCGGCUGUGGCUGUUAGCUACCGGGAGCCGGUAGUGAUGACGUGUUCCAACACCCACUCCCCCACCCAAAACGUGGGGUUCCCAAACGUUGGCGCUGCAUCGGAACACGCCAAACACAGAUGUUGGAAGGCCUUCGUUAAGAUGUCAGCAAACUGGGAGGUGGUGGGGAUGCGUUGGACAUUGACUUUGCCAAGAGCAGCGCGCUCCAGGAUGAAGUGAAGAUAUCGAUCUCCUCGUCUUUCGUCCGCUGUUGGGGCACCGGAUUGCUGGACAUGUACAUGGCGCUAACAUUGUCGCAGUAGAUCACCGUAGCACACGUAGGAAGUUGGUGAAGCUCGUCGACGAGGUGUCAGAACCGCGGACUCGGUGACAGCUCAAGAUGGCAAUGGGGCCCCGAAACCCUCGUCCUCAUGUUUUAAAAGCAUAUUAGGGGGUGUGGAUGGGCGUGUUUCUAACCCAGCGGGGCUGCUACUGGGAAAAUUAUAAAACCCGACAUGUUUCGCGGGUCCGACACUGUUUCAGCGGUACCUGAACCCGAAACCCACCAUCCCGUCAAAAUACCUAGUAGCAUCCAGUGAUCCACCGAUUUCCACCCAUCUACUCCACUGAUCCAGCCUCGAGCUGACGACGUUGGCCACCACACGGUACUCAGGUUCGGUGCUCGAUCGAGACACGGUUUUCUACCACUUCGAGGACCAUGUGAGAAGGUUGGGGUGUGAGGAAGAUGCAGUACCCAAACAUUGACUGGCGUGUGUCAGGGCAUCAGCCUAGUCACUGUCAGAGUAGGCGAUGAGCUUCGACGCAACAGAGCAGUGAAUCUGCAGCCCGAGUCGCGUGGAGCCGCGUAGGUAGCGCACGAUGCGCUUGACGAGCUGGAAGUGGCAAUUAAGGUUGGGAGGAGAUUCUAAUAUCAUAUUAUAAUACAAUACAAUAUAACAUCAAAGGGAAAACCGUUAAUAAGAAAUAUAUCAUAUUCACCUAUUUGUAUUAGGAUUCGACAAAUGAAGACAUCAAGUUUUUUCGAUAAAGGGCGCUUUUAUUAACUCAAAAUGUAGCAUCGAGCGGAUACAAAACAUAAAAAGCGACACCCGGCCUCUGCAUAGCUAAGAUGCACACAGCCAUGAAACAAACAGUCUGACAAAAAAAAACGACAAAGUGGCAACAGUAAAGCCAUAUGGGGCCGAAACUAUGCCUAUAUCGACGGAGAAGGUGGAUCGAUUAGGAAAUUAUGCUGCCACCCAUGUUGGGUAAAAACCUCCCUGGCCACCCGCUCCAACCGCAUACACACCGCCUUGAACAGCAAUUGGUACUCCGUUCGGUGCAGAGUAGACCACAUAUGAAGCCAGUGUGUACAACGGUAAAUAACCUGCAUAGGAGAAGAGAUUUUGUCAUUAAAAACACAAUCAUUUCUACAUAGCCAAAGCGACCAUAGUAAGGCAGACGCUCUCAUCCAUAUUAGCGUACUAAAAGUAUUUGGUAUUCCAUCAAGCCAGUGACCAUAUAUAUUGGUAACACUUGUUGGUGGAUACAAAUUUGACGCUAUUUGGAUAACUGACCAUGUAGAACGCGCAAAUAACUUGCAUUGAAAGAAGAGAUGUUUGAUUGUCUCGUCAUGAGUACAAAAACUACAUUUUUUGCUUCCUUUCCAGUUGCGUCGAGCGAGGUUGUCUUUAGUUAGCACAACUCCUCUCCGAAGAUACCACAUGAAAAUCUUAACUUUUAGUGGCAUCUUCGAUUUCCAGAUUUGUUUAUUAUUGGCCACUGGAAUCUCUGUGUGUGAUAGUACACGAUACAUAGAGUCAACUGUGAAGGACCCAGAUGUAGUAAGAUUCCAGCGAAAGACAUCCCGGCCUUGUGUCAAGUUAAUCGAAUCCAAAUGGGAUAGAAGAUGUUGCCAUGACACAAGACGGGUCCCAACCAAAUCCCUCUGAAAUGAUAUAUCUGGCGGAGAAGUGGUCAUCACAUGCGCAAGAGUAUCGUUCUUAUCGCGUACAAUGCGGUACAAGGCUGGGUACUGUUCUCGGAGAGUGGUAUUUCCUAGCCACUUGUCCUCCCAGAAGCGUAUCUCCGAGCCGUCCUUUAUCGCGAAGGAUCCGAAACGGAAAAGAUGUUUCUUUACUGCCAUCAGACCAGCCCAAAAAUGCGAGUCCCCGGGCUUCCAAUAAGCCUGGGAUAACGCCUUUUGGCCUAAAUACUUGUUGCGUAGCAUAGUUUGCCAAACACCAUCCUCAGUAAGAAGCUUGAACAACCAUUUACUGAGUAAGGCAUCAUUCUUGACCUGGAGGUCCUGAACACCUAAGCCUCCUUGGUCUUUCGGUCGGCAAAUGAUGCUCCAUUUUGUUAGUCUAUACUUUUUCUUUUCACAGUCUCCUUGCCAAAAAAAUCGGGAUCUGAAGUAAUCCAGUCUUUGCAGAACCCCUUUGGGUAGUUGGAAAAAUGAGAUCAUGUAGAGAACCAUGUUGGUGAGAACAGAAUUGAUCAAAACUAGUCGUCCUCCAACGGAGAGCAAUUUUCCUUUCCAACUGCUCAACCGUUUCUCCAAUCGUUCUUCAACAUGUUUCCACUCCGCAUUAGUGAGACACCGAUAAUGAAUCGGUUUCCCAAAUAUUUAAUUGGGAAUUGGCCUUGUGCACAUCCAAACAAGUCAGCAUAUUGUGCAGCCGUCUCCUUGGCUUCUCCAAAACAGAACAAUUCACUUUUAUGGAAGUUGAUUUUCAAGCCUGACAUUUGCUCAAAACCUGAAAGUAGAAGUUUCAGAUUUCUCGCCUUAUCAAGGUCAUAUUCCAUAAAAAGAAUCGUAUCAUCAGCAUAUUGCAAGAUAGAGAGUCCUCCAUCAACAAGAUGUGGCACUACUCCUGCAAUUUGACCAUCCUGUUUGGCGCGUUCAAUCAAAGUAGCUAGCAUGUCAGCGACAAUGUUAAAUAAUAUUGGAGACAGUGAGUCACAUUGACGUAAUCCUUUUUUCGUCUGGAAGUAAUGGCCUACGUCAUCAUUGACUUUGAUAGCCACACUGCCUCCAGUAACGAAAUUUUGGAUCCACUCACACCAUUUAUCGAAGAAACCUUUCAUUCUCAGGGUCUGCUGUAGAAAUGACCAUUUGACUUUAUCAUAUGCCUUUUCAAAGUCAAUUUUCAAUACUACCCCACUCAUGUUCUUCCGGUGCAUCUCGUGAACGGUCUCGUGAAGGAUAACUACUCCGUCGAGUAUAUUUCCUCCUUGCACUACUCCGUUUGGGAUGGCCAAAAAACAUGGUCAGCAACCACAUUGAGCCUAUUAGUCACUACUUUGGUGAAUAUUUUGAAGCUGACAUUAAGGAGGCAUAUCGGUCUGUAUUGUUGGAUCCGUACAGCCUCCUUUGUCUUGGGCAACAAAACAAUCUCUCCAAAAUUUAGCCUCGAUAGGUCAAGUUGGCCGGCAUGAAGAUAAUUGAACAACUCCAUUAGGUCAGUCUUGAUGACAUCCCAGAAAUUCUGAUAGAACUCUGCGGGGAAGCCAUCAGGUCCUGGAGCUUUAUUGUGUUCCAUUUGAAACACCGCAGCUCUCACCUCCUCUUCAGAGAAAGGUGCCGUCAGGAUAUUAUUCUCUUCGGUCGUGACUUGUGGAAUAUUAUCUAUUCGGGUCUCAUCGAGACUGAAGUACCCUUCAUCUGGAGCCCCAAAUAGAGACUUGUAGUAUUUUGUUAUAUAACGCUUAAGCUCUUCCUGGCCUUCGAUCCAUCCCUCAUCCUGUUCGAGGCUAAAAAUAGACUUUUUCCGGUGUCGCCCAUUGGCAACCAAUUGGAAAUAACGUGUAUUGCUAUCUCCCUCGAGAAUGAAUUGGGCGCUGGAUCUUCGAUACCACUUGAGUUCCUCUUCUCGCAAUAGACGUGCCAUUUGCUCAUUGGAUUGAUUUUUUAUGUCAAUCUCAUGUUGAGACAAAGUGCGAGUCUUUGCGAUUUUGUCGAGGUCAUCAAUAAUAGUGGAAAGACGCUGUUUUUCUUUUUUAUAUAUGCCACUGGUGUGUUUCGCCCAUCCAGUUAGGAACUGCCUUGCGGCUCGAAUUUUGAAGUUCCAUCUCUGAAUUGGUGUGCGACCAACGGCGGGCCUCUCCCAUACAUUCUUAACCAUAUUUGCAAAGCCAUCACGUUGUAACCAUCCCAAUUCGAAUUUGAAUGGGCGGCGAGCAUUGGGAGGACUAGCAGAGUUAGACUCAAGAAUGAUGGGUGCAUGGUCCGAAAGUGUCUCAAUACGCUCUAGGGCACGCCCUGUUGCCAGAGGGAAUUUUAGUUCCCAUUCGGUAUCCAUGAGCGCCCGAUCGAGUUUCUCGUAUGUCGGCACCGGACGAUUAUUGGCCCAAGUAAAUUGUCGCCCCGACAUACUGGCUUCCCGAAGAUUCAAACUGUCAAUCACAGCGUUGAAUAAGAAAGGCCAGUGAGUGUCAAAAUGAUAUAAUACUAGUGUAUGAUAUUAUAUGUAAUAUGAAUGUUGUAUUAUCCAGUACAAUAAAGGCACAUGGUACAUCACAAUUGGCACUCUAGCGAGCGGUGUUGUAGGUGUGUUGGCCUCUUUCCUUGAUCAUAUGGAUGGAGAGGUGUGCCACUGGCAAGUGAUCCUGGUGAGGCCAUUGUCUUUGAUGAUGGUCCAUCUACGACUUAGAUCUUGAGUUUCCAUUCAUCAUGGUUGGUCCCCGUUGGGGUGGGGGGUACCGAGCGAAAACUCCAUGCAUUGACGGUGAUGAUGCCUGGCUCCCAGUGUCGUGUUCCUCUUGUGGGCACCGCCUUGGCCUCCCUCCGCCCCUUCCUCUAGCUAGCACUUGGGGUGAAAAUCCUCGUCCAUCUUGGGCAGGCACGGCGGGUGUGCUGUGUUGUGUCCCUCUUGUGGGUGACCUCGGUCCUGGCAGCGUGUUUGGUUUGUCUUGGAGCUCCUUUCCUCCCACCUCAGCUCCGACGGCUAGUUGUCCCAUUUGCUCCAACUUUUACACACCACGUAUCCUCUCUCUCUCUCUGUCAUUUCUGCUGGUCGGCAGGGUUGGCGCUCCUCGGUUUGGAGCGAGAGGGCAGUGGGUCCCCUCUAGCGGCAGGUUGGUGGUGAUCAUGCGAUGGAAUCUGGUGCCUUCUUGCAGGUGCCGCGUGGUUGCAUGUCGUCGGCUGCCUUUGGUUGUAGUUUGAGGUGGUCCGCCCCUCCUGCGUGUGUUAUUUCUACUCGUGUCGUGUCCGGAGUUUGAAUGAAACUGUAGCAUGCGCCAGUGAGUGCGGAUAGCUUUAAUUGGCUGUCCUUUUCCCUUGUUUAACAUCUCUUGUUCGACCACAUAGUACUUUAUGUUAUGAACCAUGAGACAUAAUUAUACUAGUAGAAGAUAUUUUCUUGGAAGAUAUACACUUUAUUGUAGGCCCAUAAGGUCAGGACUGUACGAGCAUAAUCCAAUGUUAUAAAUCAUACCCAUGCUACUUCCUAGAGUAGCACAUCCGUAGCUAGCAUUCACCUCUCCACUCUUCCUAUCCAUAUUUGCUCUCUUCACCCAAUAGUAUUUGCACCCAAACACCAAAUAGUAUUACCACCCAAACAAACACGGACAACAGAGUCAAGAACCAAUGAUUCAGCAAGGACACAACGGUAAGAAACGAGUAAUGUUUCUUCACAAAAUGAACAAGCAAACAAACUAACAAACGAGCAAAAGUAGAAAUAGUUAGGCGAUGUUGGAUCCAUACAUGGAAAUGGGAGGCAUUUAGAAACACAUGCCUUGCAGAAGCUUAUGGAAACAUUGUUUCUCAAGAAUACUAAGUACCCAAGGAAGAAGCACAAGGACUCUUCGUCAAUGUGCCGCUGGGAGGCGCGUGAGGAAGCAUCUCUGUCAUGUUAGAUAUGUCUUCAGUGAUGGGAGCACUGAGGCACAUGUUGAGGUCGUUGUGCUUGACGAACUGGAUGCAGAAAGUGACACCGAGCUUCAAUUGUUUAGUCGUCCUAAUUUACUAAACGAUUAUUACUAGGGGUGUCCCUUGGUCGUGUACAUGCUGUGGGUAUGAUGGUGUGGGAUUAACUACCCACGUGCUUCGCAAGUAUUCCCUUUUCUGCUAUGCAUUUAGUCAAUUUUGUCCCUUGGAUAGAAAGCCACCAGUGGCUUUGUUUUCUACAUUAUGGUGAUGCACUGCACUGAACGGGAAUUUCAACUUUUAUCCCCUGCCUAUCUGAAAGCAUUUGGGGAGGUCAAAAGCAUCCCUGAUUUAGUGAUGACCAGCAACAGGCUCCCACGAUCAAGCAGAUUUAAUCGGCUUUCACGGAUUUCUCAUGACUAAGAAUUAAUUAGGUUAUGUCUAGUUCUCAUCUAGAUGAGAAAUAACUCAGUCAAAUAUAACUCCUACAUCGUUUGAUUUUACGCUAUGUGAAUUUUCUUUUAUUUUCUUACUUGAUUAAUUAAAUAGUGUGGGAGUUAGAUGGGACUUUGCCACUUCUCAACUAAGAGAGCCAUUCCAUUUAGGGCGAGACAGAAUGUGCGGGCACAAGCGGUCUAGUGUCCAAGCCGAUUGAAACAGUGGCCUCAGAUACCACAUGGAUUCUUGGUUGUACGCUAAUUCAUUACCUUUUCAUUUCUACUUCGGUACAACCCCAUUAAACACAUCAACGGAGGCGCUACGCGGCCUGUCUACGUACCGGCCAUACAUGGAUUUUUUCUCUUUCUUUUUAAUCUUGAAAAAAUGUGGCCUGUGUACGUACAUCACAUACACUGAUUUUUUCUCUCCCUCUUUUUAAUCUUCAGAAAAUGUGCGUCAUGGGAGAUUCAAACUCCAACCCUCAAGGUUCACUUCAAGUUGUAGUAACCAACCAGUUACUUGUGCCCACUUGCUUUCUUUUUCGGUUCUUAUGUGGCAAAUAUGGCUUUGUGAACUUUAGGCCAGACUUUUUUGUGUUUUUCAAACCGGGUUUUACUAUGUUUUGUUCUGGUUUUUUGUUUUCUUGUUUUUACAUAUGCAUGAAAUUUUUUAAAUUUUAACACUCAAAUUCGUAGGCUUUUUUUUUUUCAAAUUUGUGAAUCAUUUUCAGUUUAUAGAAAAAUUUGCAAAAUUUUCAAGCGAACAUUAUUUUGAAAAUUUGUGAAUAUUUCGCUCAAAAUUGAUGAACUUUUUUUAAUUCCGCAAACCUUGGGCCAGCUCAACAAGCGACCGACGUGAGCGAUAUCGUCGCCAGGUUGGGCAAGCCCUAAGUGGUUUUUUAUUUUCUAUUAUUUUCUUCUCUUUUUUGAUUAUUCAUGUUUAUCCUUUUGAACUUUAUUAUCGAUUUUGAUUUUGAAACAUGUUCCAAAAUUUGAAAAGUUGUUUAAUACACAAAAAAAUGUUCUUGUUUUCAAAUAUUGUUUACAAUUUUAAAAAAAUAUUCUGGAAUUUCAUAAUUUUUCCCUUUUUUCAUUUAUAUUCACCAAAAGAUUAAGAAAUAUUUUCUUGUUCAAAAAAGUUGAUUUUUUAAUAAAAAGUAUGAGCUUUGCACUUUAUGUUCAAAACAUUCAUCAAUUGUUAGGAAUUUGUUAACAAUUUUUAAAAAAUUGUUCAAGUUUGUAAAAUUUCCAUGCACAAUGUGAAAUUCCAAAAUUGUUGACAAAUUUCAAGAAAUGGUUGGGACAUAAGAAAAUGUUCAUGUCGAUUUAUAAUGAUACUAAUUGUAAAUAUGCGAAGUAUCAAAAUUAGGGAAAACUACAUGCUCACAGGUGCACCCGUCUGGCCUAUUAUGUCAGACACCUCUCAACUGUAGUUAUUUUACUAUUGAUAAAUGACUCCAACUUCUUGAAGAAGCCUGGUAGAAACAUAUGAGGCAUCCAUGGCAGGUUUGAGUGACUUGUGACACUGUUUGCACGUUGCGACAUGUCCGGCCAUUUUAUCAGCCCAUUGAUCGAACCCAAUGACUAAAUUUUCUGCCUCCGCACCUAUUAUCUCACCAAGCUUGUUGGAUCAUGUGUUGCAGCCGGUUGUAGAUCUUAGACCACUUCUCUUUUCUCGUCUCUCAUCUCUGUGUUGAAGUCAGCAUAAAUCUGAUGUGGUGACUUUUAUAGGCCUCCUACAUCAUCUUGUUAUACUUACUCUUAGCUGUCAGACAAUGCUGCCAGCCCAUAAGACAAGUGCCCGACAACAUCGCCACCAAUGGAUAUACAUGUUGCGCUGCCAAAACUAUCAUGUUUUGCAAGUUUGAGCUACUUAAAGUAGAGCUGUCACACCCAUGUUGAACGUUUCCACCCUCGAAUCCCAUGUACGCGAACAGUGCUGAUGGCAUUUAGUAGGCGCAAGGACCUUAAUCGGGAUAGAAUCCAACCUAAGCUGAAGCGCGCACUCUAUGCGUCGGACACCGAUGAAUCUCAUUAACAUUUUUAUUUUUUAUUUUUAAAAAUAAUAAAAAAUAUUCUUUAGGAGAAAAAUAUAUUACCAAAACACUUUAAUAAAUAUAAAAUAUAUACUUUAUCGGUCAAGAAAAAAUGUAUCAACUAGUUGUAAAAAUUUCUUAAUGUUUGAUAAAUUUAUUCAUUUAUACUGAAUAAAAUAUCCAUGAUGAUCAUGAAAAAGUGCUCGAGUAUAAAAAUAAACCAUUUGUAAAAAUAAAUUUAUAACAUAAUUUGGAAAACUAGAAAGUAUUUUUUUAAAGAUAUUCUGGUGUGCAUGAAAGUGUCCAUGCUUUAUAACUAAAUAGGUAGGCAUGAGAAAUAAAAAUAUCCAAACAACUUAUCAAAAAUAUGUGCAAAGAUAAAAUGGGGCACAUAUAAAAGGUUUUCUCAAAUAUGUUUCACCGUCUAAGUAAAAUGUUCGUAUAUAAAAAUAAAUAUUGCAGUAACUUAUAAAAUUAUAAUUCUGAAGUAGAUUUCAACUUGUAUGGAAAAUGUUUUUCUAAAUUUCAACAACAUUUCCCGUAGAAGUUUUUUUUAAACUUCUAUGGAAAUGUUGAAAUGUAUCAUGAAAUGACAUUCAAAAAUUAUAUUUUCAAAAUAUUUUAGUGUGAUGAUUUCGUUUUUCGCCAUGAAUUCGGCAAAUGUCAUUUCAUCAUUAAAUUUGCCAAGUACCUACCUAAACCAUUUGUCAAGAAAAAAUUAUUUUUUUAUUUUUUUCCUCAGAUUUUAAUGUUCAUCAUAUGCUCAGAUGAGCUCAGAAGCAGAAGAGGACUUUAGGGCCUUGCUCUGCGAAUUAAACCAUGGCAUAUUGCUGUGUACUAUAAUAGUAGUUUACACACACCCAAUUCAAUAUAGCCAACCCGGUCAACCACUACCGGACUCGCGGCCUAUGCCUACGACCCAGGGCCGUCGGCAUAGGUCCUUUGCCAUCAGCAUAGGUCUAUGCCUACGGCUGCCGUCGGCAUAGACCCGUCGGCGUAGAUCAUGUCAGUGUAGUCUUGUCAGACCGUCGGCGUACUAAAGCCGUUGGCAUAGCAGCCUAUGCCUACGGCUUCCGUACAGCCGUCGGCAUAGUUUCACCGUCGGCAAAAAAAUGGAUGAGACGGCGGCUAACGGCGCCGUUGCGAAGUCCGACCAACCAGGAGUUGCCACGUGGCAAAUCUAUGCCUACGGCUUUGCCGUCGGCAUAGCCUUCCACGUGGCAGCUCCUGAUUGCUCCUGGUCGUGGACUAUGCUUACAGCAAAGCCGUAGGCAUAGAUGCAAAACUAUGUCGACGGCUUUGCCAUAGGCAUACAUGCCACAUGGCAGCUCCUGGUAUCACAACAGCCAUCUAUGCCUACGGCAUUGCCGUCGGCAUACUUGCUGACCAGAACCAAAAAAAAAUUAGCCAAAAAGGCUAGCUAUUUACAAAUGCUUAUACAAACACUAAUAAGCUUGCACGUGCGUAAAAACACAUGAUUUGAAACAAGACCAGAUGUGGAUAGAUUUCAAAAAAAUGAAAUUUCAAGCAGUGACAACACCUAGUUCAUCAAUCAUACUAAUAAUUUAUAAUAUCAUUCUCCAUGAAUCAACAUACUUGUUGAAACAAAUAUAUAUCACACCCUUUGCAUAAAUUAUAUAAUCUUUUAUCUCAAUGCACAAUUUCUCAACACAUGGUGGCUAAACGUUUACAAUCUCCUGUAAAUGAACUAUAGUAUGUGAACCAUUUGAAAUUUCGGUGUCAUAUUGUUACAGUAUAAUCCAGUCAGAAAUUAGAAUGCCCUUGUUGGGCAAUGGACUAUUUUAAAACUUCAUCACCAUCGUACCUACACACAUAUAAGUGUUGUUCAGUAAAUAACCAUUUAUGUAUCAACUAAAUUCAGUAAAGGACUAUUACUAUGAGAAAAUCAAGUGUUGUUCAAAAAAGAAAAGUGCCCAUUAUCACUUCAGUUAUAACUGCUACUGCUAGCUGCUCUUGCUUCCCUUCGCAUUGUAAGGGUGUUGUAUUUAGCAACAAAACCUUGCAUAUCAAAUUAUAUGGAGAACAUAUGCUGCAAUGAACCAUUGACUGAUCUAAAAACCAACAUUGGCAUCCAAACUGGCCCAGCUCUCCAUCUAAAAAUAAUCUUAAAUAACAAAUAAAAAAAUUGCAACAUUAAGUGAAUUUGGGCUGAAGUGAAUUUGCCUUUGGUUGACCAAUAUUCUUCGUAUUUUUAUUCCAAUAUUCUUCAUGUUUGGUUGACCAAACACCAUCUCAUAUUAUGAUUUAUGAAGCGAUCAUUUAGUAACACCACAAUAUCCCAAAGUAGCAGGCAUUUUAUUUUCCUAAAAAGAAGUAGCCGACAUAUUCUUAAGCUUCUGUACAAGCUUUGCAAAGAAAUUUUAUAACCCCUCUAGAUUGUCUGAGCAACAGUACUGAUUCCAGAUUGCCGGUUGUAUCUCAAAUUGAAAUCAUAAGUUAAAUACUUGUGACAACCUACCCAGAAAGUCUCAAUCUCAAGUAUCAUUGCUUCCAAAUAAAUUACUGUGAUGCAACAACAGUAACUCGUAGAUGGCAACCAGAAUGAAAUUGUAUCAAAACGGACCAAAUCUUGCCAAUAAACCCAACACAUAAUAGAAUUAGACCUUGCAAUUAUGGCAAGUUACAGUCAUCAAAUUUAUCUGCUCUAAUUCGCAACAAGAAAACUUUGAUUUGUGAUAUGAUGAUGACCAGGCAGCCAAGGAGAAGUGGACAUGCAAGAGAGGAGUCGUGACUUGGCGACCAUGGUUGUUCUCUGCACAUACCUUGAUGCGGUGUUCGUCCUCCACCCCAGCAUCCUGCGUGUCCCGUCCUUGCCUCCCCGCGCCUUUCACACGACAUAUCUUCAACCUCCUAACCAUCUUUGAUGCACUGACGCUGAGUUAAGAAAUCUGCCAGGAAUGACAUCGGAAAUUAAUAGUCAAGCACAAUCCUUGAGAUAACAUGGUUAUCGUAAAAGUAUCAAUAUCUAUCAGGAGAUCAAACCUACUAAUUUAAACCACGCUUCAAAUCUUGUGCAACUUCUCCUAUAUAGAAGCAUGGUUUCUUCUCAUGUAGAUGUGGGAAAUCUGACACGAAUGCAUGUAUGCAACAAAAAAUUCUCUAGUGUCAUACGCACAAGUUAAGUAGUUAACAAAAGUUUACUUCCCACUACUAAUUUUGCACUUGUCAUAAUAAAGAAAACAGAGCUCGACAUCACGGCAACAAAAGCGGUAGACUGGGAGCCUGGAACCAUGCACACCAAAUCGCAGAGCAGAAAAAUAGCAGUACUACCUGGAGCAAAAGAAACUCAACGGACUGGGGCAACAUUUGGAAAGAGACAAGCAAGUACUACAACAGCUAGCUAGGCUGAAUUGAAGAUCAACCAAAAUCAUAUCAAGUAUUUGUUGAGCAUGCUUAUACACGGGAAGGGGAAGGGGUUCACGGCAUGGACCUUUAGGUCAUGGCGUGGCUUGCAUCUCUCCUCCUCAUGUGCAUUGGUUUGCAUCCAAUCCUUGCAGUCCAAUCGAUGGGCGUCCCCCCCUCUCUGCAUCUCUAGAACAACACGACACUUAAAUUUCAUCAACUUCCAUUGCUACUUAAUAAAAGAGGGGCAAGAUGUAUAUGCUGCAUAAAACAUACAUGGAGAAGCAAGCUGCUUGAAAACAGAGGAGAUCCAUGAUGGUUGUUUUCAUUCGCAACAGAAGAACUCGAAAAAAUGUGCAAGUGCAUGCUAUCUAUGGAUACACCAACUCCAUCAAGUACCUAGCACCCAAACUAAGAAAAAAAAUCAUUCAUAUGCAGCAGCCCAAACUCAACUUUGAGAGAGCGGACUAAUUAACAUUUUUUUGUUGGGUCAAAUUUUUCACAAAUAUAGAUAGAAGCACUCCAGAAGCUAUCCGAAUAAAUCAUAGAGGCUGGCCAAACUAAUUGGCGCACUCAAACGAUACAAGAGAGCGGCCUGAUGAACACAUUGUUAGAGACGCACAUAUAGCUAGUUUCUGUAGAUCAAUUAAGCUACUAGCUUGGUUGCUUCUUUUAGAUAGCAUACACGUACGUGAUUUGUUAUAGCAUACAUAAACCGAACACACUUUCUUUAUCAAAAUUUUCACAACUAGAAGAACUCCAGCAGCUAGCUAGGCAGAAGUGAAGAUUGACCAAAAUCAUAUCAAGCAAUGUGAAGCAUCAUUAUACAAGGAAAAGGGGGGAACAGAGGAGUGCAGAGGGUCUCACCAUGGGGGUGCUUUAGCCGAUGUAGUGCACCGCCAUCACGCCGUGGAUGGAGCCUCCGUCACGCCGUGGAUGGAGCUGUCGUCUCGCCGGAGUUUACCCGCCGCGUGCGUCCGCCCCGCAGCCACCGGGUGCAGGAGAGCCGACCACGAGGGGGAGCUGCCCGUGGGACUUGCGGUGGCCGUCGGAGAGGGCGGAGCAGAGUCGCCAGCGACAUGCCAGAGUUGGAG